UAAUUAAAAUAUAUAUUAGAACACAUGAUUUAAACAAAAUAAUUAUAAAAAAUUACAUGAUACAUCUUUUGAAUUGUCAUUCAAGGUUUGAAUAUACUAUAACAAAGUCACAAAAAAAUGAAGUAAUACAAUAGUUGCAACACAACUGUAACCACCCUUAAAAAUUAAGAUCGUUGACGACAUCUUAAGGAAUGGAAGUGAUAGUUUCCAAUGUUGCACCUUCCACCAUAAAACCUAGUGGCUGACUCUUUAUACCAAUGACUUCGCCUCUUACUUUAGCUUCAGCCUUGAGUUUGUCAUUCUUCUUCUUUCUCAGCUUGAACUCCUUAGUAUAUCUUGAAGGUUGAAUAUGCUCCCUGCGAACAUGAAUCCUCUUCUUAAUAAUUUCUAUUACUAACCAGGACACAUGUACAUAUUUAAUGCAAUUCAACAGCUGUGGUGUCGCGCCGGAGCCCUUCACGAUGUCGACUAGCUGUGGCUGUGCUGUGUUCAGUGAUAGCCUCGGUGAGGAAGAAAGAUUGGGUUUUGAGAAGAGAAAUUUUGUUCUGAGCUUGAAGAUCGUGUUUCGAAGAGCGUUGAUGAAGAGAUGAGGAUGAGGAGGUAGUCACGAGAUUGGUUUUGUUUUUCAAUUUAUUUUUAGGUUUAGUUUUGUGAUAUCUAGAGAACAUGUUUAACUUAUUUUCAAUUUGUUAGUUAUAAUAAUGAAUCCGAAUUUUUUGUUUUGUAAUCUAUUUUUUGAAUAUAAUCCACCGAACAUGUAUUAUAUAUGUAUUAUGAAAACGAAAAUGAAAACAACGCUUGAAAAACGGUGCCGAACGGGCCUUAGAAUUCUACAACCUAAACAAACGUUCAUAUCUAAUGUGGCAGCCAAAACAAACCCUAAAUAAUAAUCAUUAAUUAAAAAUGUCUAAUAAACUUCCUCAAACUUUCGAAUAUUUUCAAUCAUAAUCAUUGAAUGCCUUUAUGAUAAAAAGUUGAUUGAACAUGAGAAAUUACUGGGGAAAGAAUUGUGCUACAAACUUCAAAGUACUUUGAAUAAUCCAAGUUAAUAACACAAGCAUUUUACUCUAUCCCAAGUCAGCUUCAAUUCCGUUUGUCAAUUGGGGUAAAAAAGCAACAACAAUCCAUUUUCUUUGGAAAAUUUCAAGUUGCGUAUAAAAUUAAAAGUAAUUUUAGGAGGGAGGUUUUCUAAUUGAAAAUAAGAAGUUGUCAAUUUAUGUAACCUCUCAAGUAAGAUUUUAAAAUAUUUUAACUUGAAUGUGUUCGGGGAAAUUAUUUUCAAUGGCAUAGAGAGUAAACAAAAAAUACGUAACAAGAAGAAAGGUUUUAGUUAAGCAUAUUUUUUAAAUUAUCAAGGGUUUUUGGAAUAAAAGUUUAUUUUUAAGGACAUAGAUAUUUCCACCCCACUAUUUUUGUAAAUCUACUCCAAUUUUAAAAAAUAAUUAUGAUAAGUUCGCAAUAUUUUAAAAAAAAUAAAAAUUAAUAAAAAUUUUGGACAGUUAAUCAAUUAAAUCAUUUUAUUAAUUUUUUUCUUAAGUUCUUUGACCAUUUUUAUCAUUAAUUUUAAUAUAAAUUUUAUUUUACUAUUUUAUUAUUAUGAUAUAAAAAGACAAAAUUACCCUAAUAAACAUGAGUUAUUGUAUCUAAUAAUUUAGAUACUUAAUUUUUCUAUUUAUAAUCAAAUAUUUUAAAAUGAAACCUAAUUUUUAUUUCACUACCCUUGCGUAUAAAUAACAUAAAUUUGACAGUCUAAUAAUUUAUAUGAGAAUUGUGCCAUAAAGACACUAUGUGAAUUUAAUUAAAAAAUAAUAAUCAUACUAAUAAAAAGUAGUAUUAGAAACAAUGAGAUUGGUACAAAUUAGAAAAAUAUUGAAGUUAAAGUAAAUUCUUGAUAAUUUUACUUUAUAAGGUUAAAAUAGUUAAUUUAAACUUACGUCAAAGUAAUCUUUGUAAUCGAAUAUCCUAAAAAAAUCUAAGUAAAAAAAAAAGUCAACUAAGAUAGAUUUAAUUAAUUAAUUCUCCAAAGUUCUUCUUAAUUUGAAAAUUAAAAAAAAUAAUGUGUAACUUUUAUAAUUAUUUUUUAAAAAUAGGGUGGAUUUACAAAAAAUGUAGGGUGGAAAUAUCAUCAUUCUAUUUUUAAAAGAAAAUUAUCAACUGUCUACUCAAUGAUUGUCCUAUUCUAAAAAAAUAUUACAAAAGUUUAAAUUUAUUUCAGUUUUGCACCCAUUGUUUAUAAUGUACAUUAACUGUCCACAAAAAAGAUAGACAAAUGUUUACAAAAUAACAAAAUAGAAGCAAACAUAAAUUAUAAUGGUGAUUAAAAAAAAAUCUAAAACAAUUAAAAUAUAGGUUGAAGAUUGAUGAAAGCACAAUUGGAAUGCCAAGAGAGAAAAAAUGACAAAAGUUUCUAGUAUAUUUUUUCAGUUUAUUUUCGACUAUGCUUUGGGAGCCAACAUGAAAGUUUAUAGUGAUUCUAAAAAUAUUUCUUUAGUGUUAGGUUUAGACUCUUGGGUUUGUUUCUUUAUUUUCACAUAGAAUCCUAAAAUUUUUACUAAAAGCAUAAGUCAUUAAAAAAUAAAAAAUAAAAAGCAAAAAGCGAGAACAAACACAAAAAAAUGCAUGUAGAGAGUUUCCGUGCUUGAACUUGAUCAAAUUGUAAUGCUAUGCAAGUCCAAAUAAUUAAAUCUUAUCUAAAUAUUCACAACUAAAAUUAAACAUUACGUUGGUUUAAUAUUAUUAAGUAUUUCUUCUCAUUUAUGAUUAAAAAAAUUCGUAAUCAUUAAUUACUAAUGUAAGGGAUCAUAAUUUUUGCACUUGAUUUAGAAAAAAUAUCCAUUCAUUUUUCCAAACAAUAACAAAUUAAUUAAUUAACAAAUUAAAUCCUAGUACUAAGAUUCAUAUUCAAGGAGCUUGUGCAAACUAGUUUGUUUUGCUUCAGAGCACAUCGUUUAUAUAUAUAUAUAUAUAUAUAUAUAUUGUUAAUUAGAGGGAUUAAAUAUUAUGCAAGUAAACACGGGGAAAAAACAAAACCAGAGCAAGAAGAGAAAAUCAAGGCCCUUUAUUUCAUGCGAACUUCUCCCAAUUUCCACAUCAAAAUGUAAAUGAAUAAGAAGGUUACAAAAGUGAAGGAUUUUUACAAAUCAUUCAAAAACCUAAAUAAAGAAUCAAUGUAGAACAAAUUUAUCAAUAACAUGAUGUUUAGUAUCCUUGGAAGAUAGGAGGAGGCGGUGAAGCGUACAUGGCACCAACAGGUGGGAGGAUGAAAUCUUCAGGCGGGGAUUGUGGCGGUGAUUGGACAGGUGGGGGUGGGGAUUGUGUUGGUGGCGGGGGUGAAGAUGGAGGUGGUGAUUGGACUGGUGGCGAAGGUGACGGUGGAGGUGGUGAUCUGACCGGUGGAGGAGGUGAAGGAGAUGGAGGUGAUUGGACUGGUGGCGGAGGUGAAGUUGGAGGUGGCGACUUCACCGGAGGAGGUGGUGAGGGGGGAGGAGGUGAAUGAGGGGGUGGUGACUGGACUGGCGGCGACGGUGAAGGUGGAGGCGGCGACAUCACCGGAGGAGGUGGUGAGGGGGGAGGAGGAGAAGGAGGGGGUGGUGACUGGACUGGUGGUGGUGGUGAUGGUGGAGGUGGCGAUCUCAUUGGAGGAGGAGGUGAAGGGGGAGGAGGUGAAUGAGGGGGUGGUGAUUGGACUGGCGGCGGUGGUGAAGGUGGAGGUGGCGACAUCACUGGAGGAGGUGGUGAGGGGGGAGGAGGAGAAGGAGGGGUGGCGACUGGAUUGGCGGCGGUGGUGAUGGUGGAGGAGGAGAAGAAGGGGGUGGUGAUUGGACUGGUGGUGGUGGUGAUGGUGGAGGUGGCGAUGUCAUUGGAGGAGGAGGUGAAGGAGGGGGUGGCGAUUGUACUGGCGGCGGUGGUGAGGGUGGAGGGGGCGACAUCACUGGAGGAGGUGGUGAGGGGGGAGGAGGUGAAGGAGGGGGUGGCGACUGGACUGGCGGCGGUGGUGAAGGUGGAGGGGGCGACAUCACCGGAGGAGGUGGUGAGGGGGGAGGAGGUGAGGGAGGGGGUGGCGACUGGACUGGCGGCGGUGGCGGUGGUGAAGGUGGAGGCGGCGACAUCACCGGAGGAGGUGGUGAGGGGGGAGGAGGUGAGGGAGGGGGUGGCGACUGGACUGGCGGCGGUGGCGGUGGUGAAGGUGGAGGCGGCGACAUCACCGGAGGAGGUGGUGAGGGGGAGGAGGUGAGGGAGGGGGUGGCGACUGGACUCGAGGCGGAGGCGAAGGUGAAGGUAGUGGCGGUGAAGGUGAAGGUGGCGGAGGAUGUGGAGACAUUACUGGUGGCGGUGGUGAAGGCGGUGGUGGCGAAGGUAGGGGUGGGGAUUUAAUUGGUGGAGAUGGUGAUUGUUGAGGUGUAGGAGGGGGUGGGAAGUAAAUUGGUGGUGAUGGUGAAGCUGGUGGUGGUGACUGUGGAGGUUGAGAGCUAACUUGUGGCGGGGGUGAAAGAGUGGGUGGCAACCUGACCAGUGGCGGUGGUGAAAUUGGUGGUGGUAAAGGUAGCAAUGAGGAUGGUUGAGGUGCGGGAGGAGGCGGGGACCUGAUUGGUGGCUGUGGCGGUGGUGAUGGUUGAGGUGUAGGAGGAGGUGAGGAGGUUGGUUGAGGUGCAGGAGGCAGCGGGGACCUGACCUGUGGUGGUGGUGGUGAUGGUUGAGGUUCAAGAGAGGGCGGCGAUCUAACCGGUGGCGGUGGUGAUAAUGGUUGAGAUGCAGGAGGAGGUGGUAACCUCACUGCUGGUGGCGGCAGCGAUGCUGGUGAUGGUGAAGGUGGGAGUGGUGAUGGUUGAGGUGAAGAAGGGGGUGGUGACUUAACCGGUGGUGGAGAUGAAGCUAGUGGUGGUGAUGUUGGGGGUUGAGACUGGAAAGGUGGUGGAGGCGGUGACGGAUACAUGGCACCAAUGCGUGGCGGAAGUAUGAUAAAAUUUGUGGAUGGAGGAACACUAGGAGGAGGGGAUGAUGUAAUAAGUGCUGGUGGCGGUUGUUGGUUAGGUGUUGGUGAUGGUGUUGGUGGAGAUUGCAUUGGUGAUUGAACCAGUGGAGGCAUUGAAGUGGGUGGUUUUGAUGGCCCAGGUGUUGGAGCCCAUGGUUUUGUUUGUGGAGGUGGUGCCCAUUUCUCUCUAAAUGGCACUAUAGUCCCAGGUGGUGCUGCUGUGGGUGUGGGCGUCCAGGGCGUAAGAGAUGGAGGAAAUGGCUGUGAGGGUGGUGGAGAUUGGACAGCUGGGGGCGGUGAUGGUUGAGGUGAAGGAGGGGGCCGAGAUUCUACAGAUGGUGGAUAUGAAACUCGGGGAGGUGAAGGUGGUGGUUGAGACUGGAUAGGUGGGGGCGGUGGUGACGGAUACAUGGCGCCAAUGCGUGGAGGAAGGAUGAUAUCUCCAUUUGAAGGGGGAGAAGUCGCAGUGGGCGCUAAUAACUGGCGGCGAACGAUGAAAGCCGCUUCAUUGUCGGAUAAACCGACACAAAAUAAUGGGAAUGAGGAGCAGAUGAGAGAGAAGGUAACAAAGCAGCCUAAGACCUGCAUUCCUCUAGAUCAGGCCCAAGGCUGCUCACCAAAGCCUAUGGAUGCAUAUGGCAGGAGAGGUGUUAUUUAUAAAGAGGGUAACAUAACGCUAAUGAAGGUCGGAUCAGCAUUAUUGCUAUGGAAUAGUUUAUUUUUCAGCCUUUUGCGCCAUAAACCUCUGAAUACCACGUAAUUCUUUAGCAAAUUAAUCUAAAAUUAGCUAAAUAGCUUGAAAUAUAACAAAGCUUUGACCAAGUGAAAAUUAAUUAAAAGAAUGAGUUUUACUGUUUAAUAAUUCGAGAGAUAUUUUUGGCGCCUUUUGAGAAUAUGUUUGACUUGCCUCUGGUCUUAAUAUAUAUAUGGGCAAAACUACUUUGCAACAGGGGUUUGGUAUCCCUUUUUGUCUUUUUUUUAAGGUCAAUUAUAAUAGAGUCCUGUAAUUUAUUCUAAAAACAAAAAAGCUAAAAAGUUUUAAAUUUUCACAUAUUAGUCCUACACCUACAAAUUUUUAAUUGCAUUAAUGCUUAUGGAAGCCACGAUUUUCAGGACAAAAACUCAAUUAAAUUUAUUUAAGUAUACAAUUAAAUUUACUCCUUUUAUUUUAGGACAAAAAUUCAAUCAAAAAUACAAAACUCAUUGCUCAAACAAACAAAAAUGAUUUUAUAAAUUCAUAAACAACACUUUAUUAUUAUUAGUAAAUUAAAAUAUUUUUACUACAUAAUUAAAUAAUUUAGUAUGUUAAUUAAAUAUUAUGUUAUAAAAAAAUAACAAAACAUUACCUACAUAGAAUAUAAAAUUAAAUUUAUUUUCGUAUUUUGUGUAUUCUAUCUACUUUACAUAUAAAAUCUCUUGUUCGAGAAAAAAAGAAGAAAAAGAUAUGGGGUUUGAACCCUGCUCACAUGGGUGAAAGAAAAUUGGUUGCCGUGUUAAAUUAAAAAAAAAUCAUAUUUAUAUUUAUCAUCAAUUAUGGUUAGUAAAUAAUUUACAUAGUUUAACUAUGUAAUAAAUUAGUUAAUAUAUUAAUUAAUUAAUAAAUUAAUAAGUAAAUUUAUUAAUUUAAAUAGAUAUUAAUAAAUGUAAGAAUAAGUCAUUUAAUUGAAAACUUAGUUCAAUAGAGUAAAAAAAUAAAUAUUGUGGACUUAUAUGUCAUAAUCAUAAAACUUUUGAUUUUUCUUAUUUUGCAUGAACAACAAGGGUUUUUAAUGUUAAUGACCCAAUAAUCACAUCUAACCAUUAUACAACUCUCAAGUUAAAUCCAACGGUGGAUUUGAAAAAGACAAAAGAAUGGGGUACCAAACCUCAUGGGUAUAGUAGCUGGACCCAUAAUAUAUAAUUCUCCAAUGGUGGGUUAUCAAUAUUUUUUGGGCCUAAUAAAAAUGGGAUAAAAAAUUACUGUAAUAGUUGGAGUUAUUUGGAACUGACGGAUAUAAAUUACGGUUUUUUUAAUUUUUCUUUCUUUUAUAAAGGCUUGAUUUUGAAUAUUUUUACUGAAAGAUACAAAAUAAAAUAUAAAAUCGUAACAUAAUGAGAGGAUGAUAUUUCGUUUUCUUUGGGGUUCUGUAUAGUUAGGAUGAAAAUAGUUUUAUUUGAAAACGAAGAAAGUAAAUCUAGGCUUAACAAAAUCUAUCAGAUAAUUUUGAGUGUUCAUGUUUGUUAUAAACUUAAUUUAGUGUAAGAUUUUAAGGGAAAGAUAUAAAAAUUGAAGGGCAAUAUUCAUAAAUGUAAAGCUUUUUAAAUUGUUUCGAUCAAGGUUUGCCUUUUGUCUAAUUAAAUGAUGAUUCACCAUUCAUUUAAUAUAUUUUACUGAUCACUAGUCUACAUUUACCUCAUAACAUUAAGAUUCAAAUUUGUCAGUAAUAGCUAUGUGAACAAGAGUUUUUUUUUUUUUUUUUUGGACAAAUGCACAAAUUUUAUUAAAAAAAAAUUAAUAUAGAGGGAGGAGGUUGCAAGCAAGACUAAUUAUAGAAAAUGAUACUUAAGCAAAUCUCAAGAGUCCUUCAUGCAAACUUUGAAUAAUGUUACUGGGUGGGCUACUCUACUAAGUGUAAUCGUCACGAAAUAAGGUAAGAUUUUGCUAAGCUCUGAAUAGAGGUCAUGUUUGGUAAACACAAGUUGAUUUGAUUCUAUACUUCUAAAAUAAAAAAAAUAUAUAAUAUUUUUAUUAAUUUUGUCAAAAUUAUAAUUUAAAAGUCAUAUUUACUUCAUACUAUCUAUUUUUAUUUUAUAAUUACAAUUUUUUUUCUCCACAAUAUAUAUAGUUUAGAAGUUCAGCACUUCAAUACCAAAUAGAGUGAGAGUUUCCCACAAGAUAAGCCAAGAAAUUUUAUUUACUAAAUUUAAAAAUUAGAUUUUCACUUAAUCAAUUAUCAAAAUGCCAAAAUUAUUUUGUUUUUCUUGACCGCACCCGCCAUACUGGAACAUAUCGAAAGCUCUUUCUCGUUUGUGAUUAACUUUAUUUCUCUUUUCCAAGUAAUAUAUUAGUUCUUUUAGAUUCUUACGAAAAUCCUUAUGGUUGUAAAUUAAGUUGCUGAAGCUGUAUUUUGUGAAACUGACAAUCUCCUUGCUUAUAAAUAAUUAUAUGUAAAACGAAGUAUUAAUUCUACAAAUUGGUUUUUCAUUUAUCCCACUAAUAAACCACCAUCUUCAAAGCCUCGACGAUUAUGAUUGAGUGGUUCAGGAUGCCGAGUAAUAAAAGCACAAAAAGGUUAUGAAGAAGAGUGUAAAAAAGAGGAAUUAAUGAUAUUUGAUUUGUUUAAAUUAGAUUGUCCUUAAAUAAUAAAUUAAUCUUUGAGUAUUUUUUAUAAUUAAAAAAUUAAAAAUAAGUGCCUAAAAGUAUUCUUUAGAGUGAAAAUAGAUUCCCCCUAUAAAAAAUUAUCAAAUUAUACACAAUCUUCUAUGUUAUAGUUUAAUGGCAAGGAUAGAGCUAUCCUAAGGCAAUGUAUUUGCGUAUGUAGAACAUGGUACCGCAAAUUGAUGAAGCAAGAGUAUGCUAAUUGUUCUCAUAUCUCAACAGGGAUUACUAUGUUCUCAAUAGUUGGUUUAACAUAUUUUUAAUCUUCACAAGUUUUUUUUUUAUGACUUCUCCAUCUCAAAAGAGCAAGAAAAGGAAGAUGAAGAUGACGAUUAUUUCUUUUACCUUUUUAAUUUAGCCUUUUGGUAUGUAUAAAAGGACCAAUUGAUACUCAGAUUUUUAUGAGAUUACAAAGAGUAAAACUUCGUUGUUAUUCGCAGAUAAGUACAAAGGAUUUGUGAAGAAUCAGUUUCUGUUUUAGGGGGUUAAAUGCAAAGAGUUAAGACUUAUGUGGCUUUCAUGCAGAUUGACUUAAGUUUGAGGACCAAUGUGCAAACUCGAUGAUGACGUGUUUUAAAGUUCAUUAUGUUUGUUGAAGCAGCCUCUGGGAAUUCUAAGGAAGAUGCUUUAUAAACAGAGCUGGUUCGUGGCAUAUGAUAUGUUUUUACAUUUCUCUUUCAUUUUUCAUCCAAUUUGAGUGAUUCUGAUUUCUUUGUAAAGCUUGUAAUUUCUUCUACAAAGCUUGAUAGAUUUGUAAUCAUUUUGAGUAAUAAAAGAGUGCUAGUUUUCCCUUUGAAUUGUUGUGCCUGGUGUUGGUGUUCAAGAUUAGGUUUAUGAUCUUGCGAGUGAGUUCUUGAUUCUUUGCUUCAUUCUUGGAGUUUAUUUUUGGUUUCUGUUGUGUUCAAACUCAACAGGUGGUAUCAGAGCCCUAGGGGGAUCGCAACAAUGUCACUUCCAAAACCCAAGAUUGAGAAAUUCACAAUUGGUGGUGAUUUCUCACUUUGGAAGAUGAAAAUGAGAGCACUCCUUGUUCAUCAAGGACUGGAGUUAGCUUUAGAAGAAGAAGAUCCAGAAACUGCUGGAAGUUCGAGAUAUGAUGAAAAGAUAAAGCAGAUCCACAAUAGAGCCCACAAUACCCUGAUCUUGAGUCUAAGUGAUUCAAUCUUGAGAUAAAUCUCAGAGGAGAAAAUAGCUCUGGGUAUCUGGAACAAAGUGGAGGCUCUAUGCAUGAAGAAAUCACUUACUCACAAACUGUUCUUAAAGAAAAGGCUGUAUACAUUCUUUAUGAAGGAAAGUGUGUCAAUACAAGAGCAUAUUGAUGUGUUUAACAAGAUCAUUCUUGAUCUCGAAGGAGUGGAAAACAUCAAGAUAUGUGAUGAAGAUAAGGCAUUCUUCUUGCUGAGUUCACUGCCAAAAUCCUAUGAGGGUUUUGUAGAUACCAUGCUAUAUGGGAGGACAACUCUCACACUAGAAGAUGUGAAGGCCUUCUUAUGUUCAAAAGAAAUACAAAGGCACUCUGGUGAUCUGGAACAAAACCCUGGGGAAAGGUUGAUGGCAAAAGUUGAGAAGAAGAAAGAUAAGAAGAAAAAGAAGAACAAGAAUCAGUUUAAGAAAGAAGAUGAGUCUGAGAAAGAAAACAUGAAAAGAAAAAAAUAUUUCUACUGUAAGAAAAUAGGCCAUUACAUCAGAGACUGUGCUGAGAAGAAGAAAGACAACAAAGAAAAAUCAGGAGAUGCUGCUGUAGCAUUUGAUGAAUCAUCUGAUGGAGGGUAUCAAAGUGCACACUUACUGGUGGCAUCAAAUGGAAAGAUUGAAGGUCAGUGAGUUCUAGACUCUGGUUGUUCUUUCCAUAUGAGUCCUAAUAAAACCAUUUUUCAUGAGUAUGAAACUAUAGAUGGAGGUAGAGUCUUAAUGGGAAACCACAAUGCCUGUAAAAUUGUGGGUAUACGUUCUGUCAAAAUCAGAAUGUAUGAUGGAAUGACAAGAACCUUAGAGCAUGUUAGGCAUGUACCAGGAUCAAAGAAGAAUUUGAUAUCCUUAGGCAUGUUAGAUAGCUCAGACUAUGUCUUUAAGUCUGACCAUGGGGGCUUAAAAGUAAUGAAAAACUCCAGUAUAAUAAUGAAGGGAGUCAAGAAUAAUGGACUGUAUGUGUUGGAAGGGUCAUUAGUACCUGUGUUGUCUGCAUUGCAUGUUAGUUCUGAUGUAGAUAAAGCCAAGAUGUGGCAUCUAAGGCUUGGGCACAUGAGUGCCAAAAGCUUACAAGAACUGAGUAAAAGGGGGCUGUUAUGUGGAGAUAAUGUUGAAGAGUUGAAGUUCUGUGAGAAUUGUAUCUUUGGGAAGGCCCACAGAAUGAAGUUCGAAAGAGGAUUGCAUAAAUCCAAAGCUGUAUUGGAUUAUGCUCACUCUGAUCUAUGGGGGCCUGCUCAAGUGCCAUCUCUAAGUGGUAGCAGAUACUUUGUAACAUUCAUAUAUGAUUUCUUAAGAAAAGUCUGGUUAUACAUUCUCAAGACUAAAGAUCAAGCUUUUGAGAAAUUCAAGAUAUGGAGAGCUCUGGUUGAAAAUCAGUUUGAGAUGAAGCUGAAAGCACUAAGGACUGAUAAUGGGCUUGAAUUUUGUAAUAAAGAGUUUGAUAUUGUCAGAAGCAUGGAAUCACCAGACACAAGACUGUCAGGUUCACCCUUCAGCAAAAUGGAUUAGCUGAGAGGAUGAACAUAACUCUCAUUGAUAAGACUAGAUGUCUGCUUAUAAACUCCAAGCUACCAAGUAGCUUCUAGGUUGAAGCUGUAACUACAGCUUGUUACUUGGUUAAUAGGAGUCCCUCUGCAGUUCUCAAGUUCAAGACUCCUGAAGAAGUCUGGACUGGUGUAUCUGCAGGCUACAAACAUCUGAGAAUUUUUGGAUGUACAUCCUAUGUGCAUGUCAAGCAAGGAAAGCUGGAUUCAAGUGCUCUGAAGGGGGUGUUUGUGGGAUAUCCUGAGGGGGUGAAAGGGUAUAAGGUAUGGUGUGGUGCCACUCAUAAAUGUAUCAUCAGUAGAGAUGUUACAUUUCAAGAGGAAUCUAUGUUGGAGGACAAUGACUCUGCUGUCUUUGACUUCAGCCCUUAUACUGAUGGAUUAAUGAAAGAAGCUGUAAUAAGGAAGGAUUCCAGAAUUGAGGUGGAGUCAUCCAGUAGCAGUGACAGAGGGGGUCAAGAUAUGGGUGCUAUAGAAGAUCUUCAAGAAAGGUCUGAAGUGGAUGAUUUAAGAAAUUCAGUGGCUGAGCUGCAAGACUAUCAGCUAGCUAUGGACUAAAGCAGUCUUCAAGACAAUGGUACAAGAGAUUUGAUGAGUUCAUGAUCUCCAAUGGCUAUCUCAGAAGCAAAUAUGAUAGCUGUGUGUACUCUGGAAGCUCAAGUUCAAGUGGAGCUGUUUACCUUCUGCUGUAUGUUGAUGAUAUGCUACUUGCUAGCAAAUAUAGAAGUGAGAUCAAGAAGCUCAAAGACCUGUUGAAUGCAGAAUUUGAAAUGAAGGAUAUGGGAUGUGCUAAGAGGAUCCUUGGAAUGGAUAUUAUAAGGAAUAGAGCUGCUGGAACUCUAUUUGUCAGUCAAGAGAGGUACAUUCUAAAGGUUCUUGACAGAUUUGAUAUGCUGGAUGCAAAGUCUGUUCAGACACCACUAGGAUCUCAGUUUAUAAUUUCAAAGUGCAAGCUCCUGUCACAAAUUAAGAUAAGUCUAUGAUGAGUGAAGUUCCAUAUGCUCAGGCAGUUGGGAGCCUCAUGUAUGCAAUGGUGUGUACUAGGGCUGAUAUUGCUUAUGCUGUUAGUCUUGUUAGCAGAUUCAUGAGUGAUCCUGGAAAGGAGCACUGGGAUGCUGUUAAAUGGAUUAUGAGAUACCUUAGAGGUACUCCAUAUCAUGGUUUGAUGUAUGGAAGGUCAAAGCAGAAUGAUAAUAGUAUAGUGGGAUAUGUAGACUCAGAUUUUGCAGGAGAUCUGGAUGGGAGGAAAUCAAUCUCAGGCUACUUGUUCAUGGUGAAUAGCCGUCUGAUCAGUUGGAAAGCAACUCUUCAAUCUGUGGUCAUUUUGUCUUAUACAGAGGCUGAGUUUGUUACUGCAACAGAGGCAGUAAAAGAGGGAAAGUGGCUUAGUGGGAUUUUGAAUGAGCUUUGGUUAAAACAAAAAACUUUAACCAUUUUCUGUGAUAAUCAAAGUGCCAUUCACCUCAUUAAAAAUCAAAUCUAUCACGAGAGGACUAAGCACAUUGAUGUGAGACUCCAUUUCAUUAGAGAUGAAGUAACUAAAGGUGCUGUAUCAGUGAACAAAAUACACACUGAUAUAAAUCAUGUUGAUGCUCUUACAAAAGUGGUUCCCACUGCUAAGUUCAAGUUUUGUGUAAACUUGAUGGGAAUCAUGGCUAACUUACAGUGAUUACUUUGUGUAAUCGAGUGAUAAGCUGUGUGCUUAAAGGCUGUGUGCUUAAAAGGGUUUUUUAAAGAAACUUUUAUGGUUAAGAAUCAAACUGAAUCAAGUCUGCAAGGUGGAGAUUGUGAAGAAUCAGUUUCUAUUUUAGGGGGUUAAAUGCAAAGAGUUAAGACUUAUGUGGCUUUCGUGCAGAUUGACUUAAGUUUGAGGACCAAUGUGCAAACUCGAUGCUGACGUGUUUUAAAGUUCGUUAUGUUUGUUGAAGCAGCCUCUGGGAAUUCUAAGGAAGAUGCUUUAUAAACAGAGCUGGUACGUGGCAUAUGAUAUGUUUUUACAUUUCUCUUUCAUUUUUCAUCCAAUUUGAGUGAUUCUGAUUUCUUUGUAAAGCUUGUAAUUUCUUCUACAAAGGUUGAUAGAUUUGUAAUCAUUUUGAGUAAUAAAAGAGCGCUAGUUUUCCCUUUGAAUUGUUGUGCCUGGUGUUGGUGUUCAAGAUCAGGUUUAUGAUCUUGCGAGUGAGUUCUUGGUUCUUUACUUCAUUCUUGGAGUUUCUUUUUGGCUUCUGUUGUGUUCAAACUCAACAGGAUUUACUUGAAUUAGAGAACAUCUUUAUAGAUUUGCUAGCAAAGUUUUGCAUGAUACUUGUAACAAAUUUACCAAGAGAUUCCUCUCUCUCAGAUAAUAAAAUUACUAAUUGAAGAGACAAAAGAACAGCAAAUGUGCGGGGGUGUUUUGAGUAAGAAAUAUCCACCAAAUAAGUUGUACAAAAUCUACAAAAAGAUAGAAGUUUGAUUUACAUGAGAGUUUUUGCUUAGUUAAUAAAUCAGAAAUAACUAAGAGUUAUUGGGCUGUUUAUUUGCAAUAUUAGUUGUUGUUUCGACCAAUAAGCUGAAAUGUUAGGCUUCGAACUUAUAGACAUAAUAAACAUAAUAAGUCCCUAGUCCCUCAAGUCACAAGAUUAGAUUUCUUUGUUUCUAUAGUUUUAAGAAUUUGUUAAAAAUAAAUAAUCAAUCAACUAUUUUAGAGAAAACAGCUUGAGUUCUGGAGAUCAUAUAAGAUCGAAUACGAAUUAUGGUGCAGAAUUAUCUCCAAAUUUGAAUUAGUUGUGUUUUACAAUAAACCAACCAUACUCAAAAUCCUUAACAUCGCAUGAAUAAAUCAGUACCCAACUAAAUUAUUUCAUUUGCCCGAAGAAUGAUACAUUCACUACAACAAAAAUGAGUUUCUUCGGUGGAGUUGCUAUGGCAUAUUGUAAUAAUUACAUGCCGUUAAAAAUAUGUAAAGACGGAAGGUAUUAGAAUAUUCACCAUUAAAAUAUUCAACUAUAUAAUAAGAUGGCAUAUUUUUUAAAAAUAUAUAAGAAAAUAUUCAGCUUGAUUUGUCAUAUGUAAGAAGCUAUAUCCCGAAAUCUAUAUUUACAAAGCCUAAACUGAAUUAGAACCAACAACUUUGAAGAUGCUCUGCUGGUAGUUGUAGAGGCACUCCAUCACUUAACUCAGCCUGAAAGUUAGGAAAAUGAGAAAAAGUAUGUUAAGAAAAAGGAAUCGGAUGCAUAGCUUUUUUGUAAUUCCAUUUUUUUUAGUUUAUCUGAAUUUAGCUUUGGUAGCGCCUUUGAGUUACAAUACUAUUUAUAGUAACUCGCUCAAUUUAUUAGGAAAUGAGAUCUUUUUUAGGAAAAUUGAUAUUUGCACCAGUAACAUGUUACAAAAACGCGGGUUGAGCAAUUAUCAAUACUGUGGUGGUUGCAACUUCUAGAGAAAAGUAGAUAUGGUGAUAAACAAAUGUAAAGAAAAUUUUGAACACAAUAAUUUAUGUGGUUCGGCGUGAAGUCUAUGUUCACGGGCAAAGAUUAAAAGAUAAUUUCACUAAUAAAUUGGAAUUUACAAAAUUGAGAAAAACUCUCAAAACACAAAACUCCAAAACACCCAAUUGUAUUUUCAAUAGAACAUUCAAGUAAAAGCUUUCUCAAAUCUCUCAAAUUACUUCACUUGCAAUUGCUCUCAAACGUGGGAUGCCAUACUCUCCAAAUGAACCUCUAUUUAUAGUGUAUGAGUAGUGUUGAACUUCAACAAUUGCAGUCCAAAAUAUGGUGAAAUAGCCACCAUUUGCAUUGACAAAUCAAGCAUGAAUGGCCGACCAUUCAAAACUUGCAACCAAAUUUUCAAAAGCCAUGCACACUUUGUCAACAACUUGCAUAUGCAGUUUGUUGCCACUUUUGAUUUUCAACAUCACCAAAUAGCAUUUUGUUAAAAACACUUUUAUUGUUUCUUCAUGCUUUUAGACUUUCCCAUAUUCAAAUAAAAAAUUUCAAUGAUUUUCUACUUUGACUUGAAUACUACAGAACUCUCUGUACAUUAAAUCAUCCUCCAAUCUUUGUCUUCCUUAUUGUUUUAAACUUUCAAAAUAUUGAUCAAAUUUAGACAAUACUCAAAUUUGAUCGCCGUCACCACCUUAGUCAACAUAUCUGCGGGAUUUUCUAUAGUCUUGAUUUUCUAACGAAGAAUCUUCCUUUCAUCAAUAAUUUCCUGCACAAAGUGAAAUCAUAAAUCAAUAUGUUUCGUAUGUGCAUGAUAAACUUGAUUCUUUGCUAAGUGAAUAGCACUUUGGCUAUCGCAAUACACGUUAAUGUGCUCUUGUACUAGUCCUAAGUUUUCAAGUAAGCCUUGUAACCAAACAGCCUAUUUAACGGCCUCUGCAAUUGCCAUGUACUCGGUUGUUGUGGUCAACAGAGCAAUUAUAGACUGCAAUGUAGACUUCCAACUUACUAGCCCUCCAGUAAGAGUAAAUAUAUAUCUGGUGCAUCAUCUUGCUCAAAUAGCAAACUAAGAUCUAUGGUCUUCUAAAGGUACCGCAUAAUCCAUUUCACAGCCUGCCAAUGCCCCUUUCAAGGAUUAUACAUAUACAUGCUCAUGAUACUAGCUACAAAUGAAAUGUUAGGUCUUGUACAUACCAAGCUACUAACUGUAUUUAAAUAUAGAACAUGCAACAUGUAUUGUCAUUUCGUAUCCGUCGAAGGAGAUAGUUAUGUAGAAAGCUUGAAAUGAAAAGCCAACGGAGUACUCUUAGGUUUUGUCUGCUCAGUCAUACCAAAUUGUUGUAGUACCUUCUUCAAAUAUUGUUUCUGAGACAAGCUAACUCUACCACAAGCUUUAUCUCUACAUAUUUCCAUGCCAAGAAUCUUCUUAACUUCACCCAAAUCUUUUAUCUUAAACUGUUAAUUGAGUUGAGUUUUUAACUUUUCAAUCUUGUCUUUGCUCUUGAAUGUUAUUAGCAUAUCAUCGACAUACAAGAGCAAAUAUAUGGAUAAUCCCUUUUGUAGCUUGUGAAAAUACACACAAUGAUCAAAUUUAUUUCUUAUAGAAAAUACACGCUAAUAGCAUAUUGAUGAUAUGCUAUUAGUAUAUCAUCGACAUAGAAGAGAAAAUUUAUGAAUGAUCCCUCUUGUAGCUUGAAAAAAUACAUAAAAUGAUCAAAUUUAUUUUUUGUGUACCUUUGUCAUUUCAUAAAUUGAUCAAAUCGCUUGUACCAUUGCCUUGAAGAUUGUUUCAAUCCAUAAAAGUGAUAUUGUCAACUUGCAAACCCAAUUUUCUUUUCCAGUAACCUUGAAUCCAUCUGUUUGAGUCAUGUAGAUUUCUUUUUUCCAAAUCAAUAUAUAAAAAUGUUGUUUUUACAUCAGGCUAAACUAGUUCAAAAUCAAAUUGUGCAACCAUAGUUAGCAAAAUUCGAAUAGAUAAAUGUUUCACAACUAAGAAAAUACCUCAUUGCAAUCUACUCCUUGUUUCUGAGCGUAACCCUUUACUACCAAUUUAGUAUUGUAUCUAAUUUCAUUUUUAGGAGGUAAUCUUUCUUUCUUUACAUGUACCCAUUUGCACCCAAUUGCCUUCUGAAGAGAUUGCAUUCUUUCAUUUGUUGGUUGCUUCCAUUGUACACUCUCAGAGCUAUUGAUUACUUCUUUGUAAGUGGAAGGAACAUCAUCAUCUACAACUGGAAGUGCAUAGGCCACCAUGUCAAUAAAGCGAGCCAGUCUACAUAUUUCUCUUCAUGCCCUUUUAUGUACAAUUGAAUCUUGUUGCUGUAAAGGUUUAUGAGUCAGAACCUCUUCUUUAUCUUCAGUCGAUAGAGAAUCGCUAUUUGUCUCCUCAACAUCGGCUAGAUCAUCUUUAACCUUCUUAAACUCCACCUGUUAUACCACUGGUUUUAUCAUUUGAUUGACACUAAAAAGUAUACAUUUAAUAAGGAUAAAAUUAAUCAAUUUUUUACUUACAGUGUCGAUUAAUGUGCUCAUUAUUCCUAAAUUAUCUUAACGCUUCUCAAAUAUAAUUUUAUGUUAAAUUAAUUUAUAACAUUUUAAUUUUAUAAUGUAGAUAUAUUUCAAGAAUAAGGAGCAGUUGGAACUAGAAGCAGGAAACAAAGAAGAAUUGCUGGAGUCAUUUGGAAUGCAUUAUAAAUGUAACACCCCAAAACUAACACGUGCGGAGCACGUAAAGAAGGAGGUUACUUACAGAUCAUAAUCCUUACUCAUCAAAUUCCAAACUGAAAUACCUCAAAUUUAUAUUCAAAUAAAUCCACAAAUUCAAACGUCUAACACUAAAUAAUCUGUCCCAAACAGAAAGACAACAAAAGUCUCAAACUCUAAAUUACAAGUUCAUAACGGAAAUAAAUUGAAUAGAAACAUAAGUCUAUUCCUCUUCUUAUUCAAAUGGCAAACAGAAAUGAAAAAUUACUAACUCCAAAGCUAAGCGCACCUCUCAAAAGAAACUUAAUCUGCAAAAAGUAAUGACGAGGGGUGAGCCGUCAACUCGGUAAGUAAAAUCAUUCCUAACACACUAGGCCUAUCGAUACUAAAAAUAUUGCAAGCCUUUUUUUUUUUUAAAACAUAUAUCAUAAUCCAUAAAUUUCAUAAAACGAUAUAUCACGAUAACAUAACAUAAAUUCUUAAUAAUUCAAAAAUCCAAAAGCAUAUUUACUUACGAAGAAAAUCAUAUAAUACGUAUACAGAAAACAAAAGGUUAGCUCAUGUCACAUAGUGUCACCUAUAGUCCUGGUGACCCAGCCAGAAACAGAAUCAGAAUAUCGUGUGCACACUCAUAACAGAAACCCAGUACUGGUUCAGACAGAUAUAUCGUAUAUUACGAUCAGAAUCAGAAUCAAAAUCAUAAUAACUAUGGACAAUGAGCCAAAGCAUUAGGAAUCCCAUACAAUCAUCAAUAAUUGAAAUCAAAUAUGGGUACAAAACAUUCGAAUAAGAUUUAUAAAAGUUCAUAUCAAUAAUUUAGGCUUGCAUAAUAUUUUAAAGAUAAAAUCAUAAAAAGUUGUCAUGGCAUAAAAUCAUUUACAUAUUAAAAAGCAUUUAUAAAAUACUUUGUUAAAAAGAAUUUAGGUUUGAAAACAUUUUCAUAAAAUAAUUUUGUCAUGAAAAUCCAUUAAUCUUCUAAGUAGUAUAAAAAUAUUUUUACUUAUAAUAAUAAUACCAAAAUACUUAUACAUAUCCAGUAUACUAGGAAUGAAGUUACUUACCUCGACUAAAGAAUUUGAAUCAACACGCCUCUAAACCUCUAAGAGCCUCAAUCACCUCCAACACCUUAAAGAAAUACAAGAUAUGACAACUAAUAACUUAUUCUAAGAAUCUGACUUUCUAAUUCAUACCCGUACAAGUCUGAUUCUCAGAAUUUAACUCUUGAUCUAUAACUCAUAACGACAUACUGUUCUAUUGAACUGUUUUGGACAUCCAUGAGUAUCCCAUGUAAAAUUUUCAAGAGGAUCCGACAUCAAAAUUUAUUUCUCAACAAUUUCGAAACUGUUUUCACAUAACCUAAACCAAACAGAACGGGUUCUGUGAUUUUUAUAAAAUAAAAUACUAAUCAGAAAAUUAUGAAAUUAAAACUGGGAAUCAUAGACACAUAUAUUAACCUACAUAUAAACUAUCAGAAUUUUCUGAGUUCAUUUGGUAGUACAAAUAAUCUUGUGAAUCCGAUCACAAUGCUGGAAUCACAGUUUUCCAGUGCAGUGGUUUCUAUUUCGAAAAUACAUAUAAAAUUGAAAACGAAGUCGGAUUUAAUGAAAUAAAAUUUACUCAAGAAGCUCUACAUUUCAAAUUUCGAGAAAUAUAAAUUUCAUAAGAAAAAUCGUUCAGAAAAUAUAGGUUUAAAUUCGAGAUACUCAUGCUGUCCAGAAUUAUCCUGUGUGCUUAAUACGUACGUCAACGAUUGAUUAACUAAACUCAGAAUAAAUCAAAACCCUAAACAAAGUCUAAAUACAUUCUAAAUCAUGCAUUAUGAUCUAUAUCCAUCUAGAAUCGUGCCAAUAUAAACCCUAGAUAGAGUGAUUAGAAAUCUGUUGAGAAUAUGGAGAAUAACUUACCCGUCACUUUGAUUCUCUCUUAAAUAAAAGUUUGAAUCAUAGGAUUUGGGUAGGUGCGUAAAGAGCAGCAGAGAAGAAGAAUAAACGUCGUGGACUUAGGGUUAUGGAAGGGGAAAAGUAUGAAUUUAUAGGGAGUCUUAAGAAACCCUAUUUAAUUAGGAAAAAAUAACCCUUUUUCCAAAAUUAUCUAAUAAAUAACCUCUAUUUAUAAAUUAGUAUCCCUUUCUUAAUAAGGGUUAUAGGCCACCCAGAACGUGCGGACUAUUGAUCUGUUCUAAGCCAGAUCUGGGUCCAAAGGCAGAUUAGCUUCUGCAUCGAUCCGGUAAAACAACGCCACGUACCAGUUUAGAUCUAAAAUUUUGAUCAACCGUGUUUCAAAGAAAAUUAAUUUAAUAAAGAAACGGUAAGUCCUUUUAAAAUCUGACGAAGCCGAUUCCAUUAAUUGUUUUAAUUUGAGUUUUUAAUAAUAAAGUAUUUUGAAAACACAUCCAUCCUUCGAUCCUAUUUCCUUCUGGUAUCAGAGCCAAGGGAAGAAUUGUGUAAAGCAGUUUAGAAUUUCGUGAUUAAAAUCUUGUGUUUUAUUUUGAAGUUUUGUUUUUGUGGUGAAUUUUUACUGGUAGUAAGUCCCGUCCAAGGAUAAGUUUUCCGUUUAGGGCUGUAAAACCAUACCUGUAGCCAUUUUGACCAAACCAAAGAUAGAACCCAGGAUUCUAACCAUGGAUCCUCUUCACUGUAGAGCAUCGUCCUUUUCUAGCUCUUCUUCUGGGAAGACUAGUGACUCAAAGCAUGUUGUGAGUUCAGAAGAAUUUGUUAUUGAGAACUUUGAUAAAGUAAUUGAUUGUUGGGAACUUCCAAAGAUUUCAAAAGAAAAUAUUUACAGAACAAAAAAGCUCGAUUUUUGGAAAAAUGAUUAUGUUAUAAAAACUGAAGAGCAUGAUAUAACUCUUUCAAAGCCUUUUGAAACAAUUAAUUUGUUUUCAGAAAAAUCUUUAAACAAAUUAAAAGAAAAGAAUUUCAAUUACAUUCAUAUAGGUCUAAUCCAAAUAGGCAUAAAGCCCCUUACCAAAGAAGGCCUGGAUACUUCUAUCCUUGCUGUUCUUAGAGAUGGUCGAUUCAUCUCUUUUGAUGAUUCUCUGCUAAGUAGCAUUGAAUCUAGCCUAUGUAAAGGUCCCAUUUUAUUUGAUUGCUAUCCAAACAUAACUUUGUCUCUUAAAGACAAAAACAUUUUGAAAAACAUGAUUUUACAAAUCAAAACGCAUAAUUAUCAUAUGAUUGAGGGAUCUAUCCCUGUUGCAUUAAUUUUUAAAAUCUCGUACAAAGCCAUGAUUACUGCCUUUAGUACUCAACAUAAAUUCCAGUCGAAAAGAGAUGAAACUCUUCUCUUACAGACUGACCUGUCUAGAGCAAACACUGUCAUUCCAAAACCAAUCCAAUGGAAAGAUGUAAAUCUUCCUGAGGAAUGGAUUCUUGAAGGAGCCGCUCCACCAGCGAUUCCAAAACAACUUGAGCUUAUUACAGAGUUGCAAAAUGUGACUCAGUAUUCUGAUGGUAAAGUUAAAUUAUCAUUCAGGAGAUCAAGUUCUUCCAGAUUCUCCGAUAAAGCAUCAUGCUCAAGCAUUCAUUCACUAGAAAGGAAAUUUACAAAAGUACCCUCUGUUAUAAAUCUUCCAUUUCAGAGUCAACCUAGGUUCUCCACUUCGGAUUUACCUAGUUCUUCUAUCAGUUCUGUUGACUACACUACAAAGGUACCACAUCCCGUUUACAUUAGCAGUCAACAUGAACAAAGACAGGAAGAGAAAGAAUCUUCUCUUCCAACUUCUCCUACAUUCUCUGCAGUCACAGAAAAUGUUUUAAAUGUCAUUUAAAAGCAUUUUGAAUUAGAUAAAGCCAUGCUGCAUAAUGAUUUUUAUUCAGAUGAUAAUAAAGAAAAAAGACUAUGGUUUUUUAAACAUUUUUUAAAUCAAAGGAAGGAAAUCCAACAAACUUACUAUGAAUUUGUUAAUUUUCAUCAAGUUCAUAUAUUGUUUUUUGAUUGGUUCGAAAUAUAUUCUUCUCAAAACAACAUUUCCUAUCCUUUCAAAGAGUGAAACCCUAUUACUACCAGGAAGAAAACCACUGAGUGGAAACUCUUCGAUAGUAAUAGAACUGUCGAUUCUGAGCAUCCCCCUCUUAGGAGUGUUAUCAUAGAGCAUGGUGAACCUCCUGUAGAUAUUAGAGCUUCACCUUACAAAAUUCCAAAGCCAAAUGAUCCUGAAGUCAAUUUAAGUAGUAUUAUUCAACAGAACAAUUUCUGUAAUACUAACUUAAAUACCAUAGGAAAACAGUUGACUAGAUUGGAAAACCAAUUUCAACAGUCAACCAUAUCUGUUUCUCCUAGUCCAAAACCUGUUUCUUUAAAAUCAGAUUCUGAUAAAAAGCUUAAAGAACCUAUUUUCAAACCUUUUCAGGUUUCGAAAACUAGUCAGAAGCUUGUCCAAGAAUCAAAGUCUGAUUUUGCCAAAGCCAUUAGAGAACAAUUAGAUAGGAUAGAAGCUGCUUCUUCCUCAUCUAGUAAAGUUCAAAUAGCUCCUGAUACUCCUCAAUCUAGCAAGAUUGAUACUCCUCAGUUGAGUAGAAUUGGAGUACUCGACCAAGACCAGGUUUCUAUUGCCUCUUCUGACUUAGAAGCCUUUACUGAAGAACCUAUUCCUAAAGCUAACAAAAUUCAUUGGGAAUUGGCACUCCCUACUUCCAAAUCUCCACCUGAUUUGACCAUAGACAACAGACCCAGUGCAUUAAAUCAAGCUCGAUAUAAUGCAUCCUCUGUCUAUGAGUGGAAUAUAGAUGGAAUGUCUGAAUACAACGUUUUAGGUGUAUUGCAGCAAAUGACCAUGGCAGCCAAUGCUUAUAAAACCCAAUCAGGAACUUCUGACAAAGCCAUUGCAGAAAUCCUAAUUGCCGGUUUUACUGGUCAACUUAAAGGAUGGUGGGAUCAUCUUCUCACCAAACUGCAGCAAUUAGACAUCUUGAAUGCCAUCUAAAUCGAUGAGAAUGGUGCCCCCAUUCUUGAUGAGCUCAAUAAUCCAAUUCAGGAUGCUGUUGCUACCCUGAUAUUGACCAUUUCUCUUCACUUCAUAGGUGACCCUUCUCACCUUAGAGACAAAAAUGCUGAGUUACUACACAACUUGAGGUGUAGAAAACUUAGUGAUUUUAAUGACUAUAAAACCACUUUCUUUACCAGACUUUUCCUAAGGGAUGAUGCAAAUCAUGUAACUUGGAAGGAAAAAUUCCUUGCAGGUUUACCUACCCUUUUGGGAGAAAAGGUAAGGAAUUCUAUCAAAGCCCUUUUUAAUGAUCGCAUUCCUUAUGACGAACUCACCUAUGGUGAAUUAGUCAGUUUUGUCAACAAAGAAGGUUUAAAGAUCUGUCAAGACUUGAAACUUCAGAAGCGUCUAAAACAAGAGCUUAGGCAAUCUAAGCAAGAAUUAGGCGGUUUCUGCAAGCAAUUCAAUUAUGACCCCUUUAAAACUUCCACUUCCAAAGACUGUAAUGGUAAGUGUUCCUCAAAACCUUACAAAAAACAUUAUAAGUCCAAAAGCCAUAGAAAACCCUUUCAUGAUUUUAGAAAACUUCCUUAUAAGAAACCUUCGAGGCCUUAUAAGAAACAUAGUUUCUCUAAAAAGAAAGAGUUUAAAGCCAAACCUAAAACCCCGUUCAAUUUCAAAGAUGCUACCUGUUUCAAAUGUGGUAUGAAAGGUCAUACUGCACGUUUUUGUAAAAUGAACAGGAGACUCCAUGAGCUCGGUCUCGACGAGGAAAUCCUUUCAAAAAUAGCCCCUCUUCUGGUCAGCUCUUCUGAUUCUGAGUCUUCCUGGUCGGGUGAUAAUGACCCCCUCCAAGUCGAUGAACUAUUUGAUUCAGAUAGCUCUGCAUCUAGCAAUAGUGAUUCUGAUUCGGAUAAUUCUUAUUUAAAGAAAAUCAAUGAUUUUGGGAUCUAUCCCUGUUGCAUUAAUUUUUAAAAUCUCGUACAAAGCCAUGAUUACUGCCUUUAGUACUCAACAUAAAUUCCAGUCGAAAAGAGAUGAAACUCUUCUCUUACAGACUGACCUGUCUAGAGCAAACACUGUCAUUCCAAAACCAAUCCAAUGGAAAGAUGUAAAUCUUCCUGAGGAAUGGAUUCUUGAAGGAGCCGCUCCACCAGCGAUUCCAAAACAACUUGAGCUUAUUACAGAGUUGCAAAAUGUGACUCAGUAUUCUGAUGGUAAAGUUAAAUUAUCAUUCAGGAGAUCAAGUUCUUCCAGAUUCUCCGAUAAAGCAUCAUGCUCAAGCAUUCCUUCACUAGAAAGGAAAUUUACAAAAGUACCUUCUGUUAUAAAUCUUCAAUUUCAGAGUCAACCUAGGUUCUCCACUUCGGAUUUACCUAGUUCUUCUAUCAGUUCUGUUGACUACACUACAAAGGUACCACAUCCCGUUUACAUUAGCAGUCAACAUGAACAAAGACAGGAAGAGAAAGAAUCUUCUCUUCCAAUAUAGAAUUCAUUAAAGGUGACAAAAAUUCUGUUCCUGAUUUUCUAACUCGGGAAUUUCUUCAAAACAGGUAAUGGCUCCAAAGAAAAGAAGUGACAAAGGGAAAGCUCCUGCUUCCCAAGAACCAUCCAAAGAACUUCAAGCAACCCCUUUUAAAGAAAAACUCCUUUCCUCAGCCAUGCCAAUUAAAUCUUGGAUUGAAUUGGUUGAAGAACAUGAAGCCAAAUACAAAUCCAUUUCUUCUGAAGACCAAGUAAAGCAAUGGAUGAGUUCCAUUACAAAAUCACCUGAGCUCAUGAUAGCUCUACAAAGCCUUUCCCAGGUCCAACCUAAAGAGGAAGAAAAACCCACUUCUAAAGAUAUCCCAAAGCCUUCCUCUCAAAACAUUGUUGUUUCUAGUGAGAGCUCAUCCUCCCAAAUUGUGCUUUCUCAGCCAACACCUUCAAAGAAAACCUCCGAUUGGUUUGAUAAAGCCCAUUUUCAAAACAUUAUUUCAAUGGAAGAUGGAUUUUACCAUUCUGAUCCUUUUCAAAGUAUUUCAAAGUUUUUUCCUCAAGGCUGGUUUUUCAAACCGUGGGAUUUGACGAAACCCCAGUCUUACUAUCAAAGCAUUUUGGAAAUUACUGAUUCAGUAAAAUUCAAACAUUUCUUUUUAAGUAAAACCCAUUCUGAGCCGGCCUAUCCUACGGCCACAAUUUUAAAAGUUUUGAGCCCUAACCAGUGGGGUGAUCUGCUCCACAAUUUUAAAACUUUCCCUCUUGAUUUUGAGACUCGUUUGCCACACUGUCGGUCUUUCUCCUACUGGGAUUACCAACAGGCUUGGUAUAACACUUUCUUCAUACAAAACCCUAAAAAAUCUCAUUCCUGGUUAUUUUUCUUUACUUAAAAAAUAACCGUCCAGAGCCUUCCCAAUUGGUGUCACCAUUGGUGGAAUUAUUUUGGUCCAACCUCUGAAAUCCUUACCCAAAAUGCCCUACAAUGCCUAAACCUUUUCAAAGCCAACUACAAACCUACUGAGUCUGAGAAAAGAUUUCCUCAUUUUCUCUGCUUUUGUACCAAUUUCUUCCUCCCAUGGGUCUGGAUGUGGAGUCUUCGACAUCACACACAGGAUUCCCAUUUUAUCCUCCAAAGAACCUUUAGAGUCAAAUGGUGGUCAAAAUUUGACGAGCAGACCAAAUUAACUACCAACCUUGUCCAAAACUGGCUUUCUGCUCAAGGCCACCUACAACCAGCUAUUAAAGAUAUUAAAGCCCAAGGCACUUUCCUCACUCAAAAAUCCAAAGCCCAAGCCCUCCUAGCAAGUGCCAAAACAGAAGAAGAAUACUUCAAAGCAAUGGAACAGCUCCUCGCUUCUCGAUCCAAAUCCUCGGUUGCUGACUCUGCUGAAGAGGAAGACGAUGAUGAUGAUGAGCCAACUGUCUCUCUUGGAGAUGAAAAUGAAGAUGAUUGUUUCGGAAUUUUCUCUCCAAUAAAGCAUUGUAAAUAGUUCAUGUAACUAUUCGAAAAAAAAAAAAAAAGAGUUUUAUUUUCUUGCUCAUUUCCUUCUUCGGGUGGUCCUCUGGACACAAGUGAGAGCGCACAUGUCUCUUCACCCGUAUUACAAAAUCUCUGCUCAGCAUUCCUGCUCGGCAUCUAAAGAUUCUGCUCAGCAUUCCUGCUCGGCAUCCAAAGAUUCCUGCUCGGCAUCAGCUCUAAAGCCCCUGCUCAGCUGAGCAGAAUCUUUAGAUGCCGAGCAGGAAUGCUGAGCAGAAUCUUUAGAUGCCGAGCAGAGAUUUUGUAAUGCGGGUGAAGAGACAUGUGCGCUCUCACUUGUGUCCAGAGGACCACCCGAAGAAGGAAAUGAGCAAGAAAAUAAAACUCCUUUUUUUUUUUCGAAUAGUUACAUGAACUAUUUACAAUGCUUUAUUGGAGAGAAAAUUCCGAAACAAUCAUCUUCAUUUUCAUCUCCAAGAGAGACAGUUGGCUCAUCAUCAUCGUCUUCAUCAUCAGUAGAAUCUGCAACUGAGGAUUUGGCCCUAGAAGCGAGGAGCUGUUCCAUUGCUUUGAAGUAUUCUUCUUCUGUUUUGGCACUUGCGAGGAGAGCUUGGGCUUUGGAUUUUUAAGUGAGGAAAGUGCCUUGGGCUUUAAUGUCUUUAAUGGCUGGUUGUAGGUGGCCUUGAGCAGAAAGCCAGUUUUGGACAAGGUUGGUAGUUAAUUUGGUCUGCUCGUCAAAUUUUGACCACCAUUUGACUCUAAAGGUUCUUUGGAGGAUAAAAUGGGAAUCCUGUGUGUGAUGUCGAAGACUCCACAUCCAGACCCAUGGGAAGAAGAAAUUGGUACAAAAGCAGAGAAAAGGAGGAAAUCUUUUCUCAGACUCAGUAGGUUUGUAGUUGGCUUUGAAAAGGUUUAGGCAUUGUAGGGCAUUUUGGGUAAGGAUUUCAGAGGUUGGACCAAAAUAAUUCCACCAAUGGUGAAACCAAUUGGGAAGGCUCUGGACGGUUAUUUUAGAAUUAAAGAAAAAUAACCAGGAAUGAGAUUUUUUAGGGUUUUGUAUGAAGAAAGUGUUAUACCAAGCCUGUUGGUAAUCCCAGUAGGAGAAAGACCGACAGUGUGGCAAACGAGUCUCAAAAUCAAGAGGGAAAGUUUUAAAAUUGUGGAGCAGAUCACCCCACUGGUUAGGGCUCAAAACUUUUAAAAUUGUGGCCGUAGAAUAGGCCGGCUCAGAAUGGGUUUUACUUAAAAAGAAAUGUUUGAAUUUUACUGAAUCAGUAAUUUCCAAAAUGCUUUGAUAGUAAGACUGGGGUUUCGUCAAAUCCCAUGGUUUGAAAAACCAGCCUUGAGGAAAAAACUUUGAAAUACUUUGAAAAUGAUCAGAAUGGUAAAAUCCAUCUUCCAUUGAAAUAAUGUUUUGAAAAUGGGCUUUAUCAAACCAAUCGGAGGUUUUCUUUGAAGGUGUUGGCUGAGAGAGCACAAUUUGGGAGGAUGAGCUCUCACCAGAAACAACAAUGUUUUGAGAGGAAGGCUUUGAGAUAUCUUUAGAAGUGGGUUUUUCUUCCUCUUUAGGUUGGACCUGGGAAAGGCUUUGUAGAGCUAUCAUGAGCUCAGGUGAUUUUGUAAUGGAACUCAUCCAUUGCUUUACUUGAUCUUCAGAAGAAAUGGAUUUGUAUUUGGCCUCAUGUUCUUCAACCAAUUCAAUCCAAGAUUUAAUUGGCAUGGCUGAGGAAAGGAGUUUUUCUUUAGAAGGGGUUGCUUGAAGUUCUUUGGAUGGUUCUUGGGAAGCAGGAGCUUUCCCUUUGUCACUUCUUUUCUUUGGAGCCAUUACCUGUUUUGAAGAAAUUCCCGAGUUAGAAAAUCAGGAACAAAAUUUUUGUCACCUUUAAUGAAUUCUAUAUCAAAAUCAAAAACACUGAGAAUAGCUUGCCAACGUGCAAAAAUCUGUUUUGAUGCAAUGUUUUGAACAUCCUUUUCUAAAACAUGUUUUGCAGCUUUGCAAUCAAUUCUAAGUAAAAAUUUUUGAUUUAGCAAAUCAUUUUGGAAUUUAGUAAUGCAUAAAACAAUGGAAAGAAUUUCUUUUUUGAUAGUAGAAUAGUUUUUCUGACAAUCGUUCCAAUGAGCAGAAACAUAUUGUACUAUCUGUUCUUUAUCAAUUUCUUUUUGCUUUAAAAUACCUCCAUAUCCUAAAUCUGAUGCAUCAGUUUCAACAAUUUUAGGAAAUGCAGGAUUUACAAGAUGUAAACAUGGAAUGCUUUUAACAGACUGCUUUAUUAAUCGAACAACUUUGGUAUGCUCUUCUGACCAUGCAACAGGAUUCUUUUUUAACCUAUCAUGCAAAGGUUUUGACAUCCUAUUGAUGUUAGGGCAGAAAUCAAGAACAUAAUUUAAACUACCAAGAAAUCUUUGUAAUUGGGUUUUAUCUAAAAUUUUGUCUGGGAAUUUGUCCGCAAACAAAAGAGAUCUUUCAAUAGGAGUAAUGGUUCCUUUGGAAAUAUGAUGACCAAGAAACCUGAUUUUUGUUUGAAACAAUGAAAUUUUUGAACUGGAAAGAGCCAAUCCAACCUUUUUUGUAGCAAGAUAAAAAGUCUUUAGAUGUUUGAAAUGUUGAUCAAUGUUUUGAGAGAAAAUCAAAACAUCAUCAAUAUAAACAAUGCAAAACUCAGAGUAGGGAUUGUAAAUAUCAUUCAUAAUUCUCUGAAAUUCUGAGGGUGCAUUUUUUAAACCAAAAGGCAUUACUGUCCACUCAUAUUGACCAAAAGGAACAGUAAAUGCAGUUUUGUAACGGUCUUUAGGAUGAAUUUGAAUUUGCCAAAAACCUGACUUCAUAUCAAAUUUGGAAAAAAUGAAGGCCGAGCAGAGUUUUUGAAGCAAGUCAUUUUUAUUAAGUAUCGGAUACCUAAUCCAUUUCAAAGCUUUAUUUAAAGGUUUAUAAUUUAUCACAAGUCUAGGUACACCUCUUUCAAUCUCAGAAUUUUUAUUGACAUAAAAAGCAGCACAAGACCAAGGUGACCUGGAUUUAACAAUAAGACAUUUGGAAAUAAGAUCAUUAAUUUCUCCUUUACAAUGUUGUUCCAAAUCCGAAUUCAUUUGGAUUGGACGGGCUUUAGUGGGUAUUUGCUUUUCAUCAAAAGAAUUUUCAUAUGGCAAAUCUACCAAAUGUUGUUUCCUAUUCCAAAAGGCAGUUGGUAAAUCAGCACAAAUUUCUUUUUCAAUAAGACUUUUGAAAUCAGAAAUUUUUCUUUGUAUAAGAUCAUUUUGUAUUUGAUUCUCAAUUCUUUGAAAAUUUAAAUCUUUUUGUAAGUAAAACAAAUCAUCUUGUUUAGACUUUACAAUAGCAUUGAUUUUGUUUUGGUAAACCGAACAGGCUUUGACAAUAUUAAGGUUUCGGGUCUUUGGUUUUUCAAUAAAUGAAAAAGCAAGUUCUUUGGAUUUUGCUUUGAAAUAUAUACCAUCAUAGUUGACAGCAUAUGGGGUUAUCAAAUUUAUAAAAGGUGUUCCUAAAAUGAUAGCAUGGUGUAUAUCAUUUGUAAGAACAAAAGAGGUUUUAAACUCAAUUUUGUCAUUGUAAAUGGAUGCUUCAACUUUGGAAUCAACCCUUAAUUUUGAAUUGUUUGCAACAGAAAGUCUUUCAUUGGUUUUCUCAUGAAAUCUUUUUGGGACAAUGUCUUUACGAAUACAAUUUAAAUCAGCACCAGUAUCAAAAAGAGCAAUGGCAUCCAUCGCAAAAUCAUUUGAAAAAAUUAAAGUAAUCUUAAUCAAAUAUUUUCUGGUGGUGAUUUGUUUUAAAACAAACAAAAAAUCAUUUAGAAUUGACUCAAGAUUAUCAAUUUUUUGUUCAACAUCAUCAUUUUCUGAUUCAACCUCUUUAUCAAAAGUGUCUUGCAACUGUUUUUGUAAAAGGCGUUGAAUAGUUGCAGAAUCAGUUUUUUUGUUUUUCUUUUAAAUCCUUUAUUUCAAGUUUAAUAUCCUUAAUCUCCUUUUGGAGGUCUUGGAUAUUAGGAGUAGACUUCUUCGUUUUCUUUUUAUCUAAAAUCUCAGUUAAAUCAUAAGAAUUCUUUUUAACAAUAGGGGUUUUAGAAGAAGAAGCUUCCGUGUUGCUUGAAUCCAUGGUUUUUAAAAGCUUAUCAAGAUAUUCCCUUUGAAGAUUUGGAUCAGAAAUGUGCUUUACCAAUUCAAGGAAAAUCUCUUGGUCUUUUGUCAAAACAUUGAUUUUCUUUAAAUAAGAAUUAUCCGAAUCAGAAUCACUAUUGCUAGAUGCAGAGCUAUCUGAAUCAAAUAGUUCAUCGACUUGGAGGGGGUCAUUAUCACCCGACCAGGAAGACUCAGAAUCAGAAGAGCUGACCAGAAGAGGGGCUAUUUUUGAAAGGAUUUCCUCGUCGAGACCGAGCUCAUGGAGUCUCCUGUUCAUUUUACAAAAACGUGCAGUAUGACCUUUCAUACCACAUUUGAAACAGGUAGCAUCUUUGAAAUUGAACGGGGUUUUAGGUUUGGCUUUAAACUCUUUCUUUUUAGAGAAACUAUGUUUCUUAUAAGGCCUCGAAGGUUUCUUAUAAGGAAGUUUUCUAAAAUCAUGAAAGGGUUUUCUAUGGCUUUUGGACUUGUAAUGUUUUUUGUAAGGUUUUGAGGAACACUUACCAUUACAGUCUUUGGAAGUGGAAGUUUUAAAGGGGUCAUAAUUGAAUUGCUUGCAGAAACCGCCUAAUUCUUGCUUAGAUUGCCUAAGCUCUUGUUUUAGACGCUUCUGAAGUUUCAAGUCUUGACAGAUCUUUAAACCUUCUUUGUUGACAAAACUGACUAAUUCACCAUAGGUGAGUUCGUCGUAAGGAAUGCGAUCAUUAAAAAGGGCUUUGAUAGAAUUCCUUACCUUUUCUCCCAAAAGGGUAGGUAAACCUGCAAGGAAUUUUUCCUUCCAAGUUACAUGAUUUGCAUCAUCCCUUAGGAAAAGUCUGGUAAAGAAAGUGGUUUUGUAGUCAUUAAAAUCACUAAGUUUUCUACACCUCAAGUUGUGUAGUAACUCAGCAUUUUUGUCUCUAAGGUGAGAAGGGUCACCUAUGAAGUGAAGAGAAAUGGUCAAUAUCAGGGUAGCAACAGCAUCCUGAAUUGGAUUAUUGAGCUCAUCAAGAAUGGGGGUACCAUUCUCAUCGAUUUGGAUGGCAUUCAAGAUGUCUAAUUGCUGCAGUUUGGUGAGAAGAUGAUCCCACCAUCCUUUAAGUUGACCAGUAAAACCGGCAAUUAGGAUUUCUGCAAUGUCUUUGUCAGAAGUUCCUGAUUGGGUUUUAUAAGCAUUGGCUGCCAUGGUCAUUUGCUGCAAUACACCUAAAACGUUGUAUUCAGACAUUCCAUCUAUAUUCCACUCAUAGACAGAGGAUGCAUUAUAUCGAGCUUGAUUUAAUGCACUGGGCCUGUUGUCUAUGGUCAAAUCAGGUGGAGAUUUGGAAGUAGGGAGUACCAAUUCCCAAUGAAUUUUGUUAGCUUUAGGAAUAGGUUCUUCAGUAAAGGCUUCUAAGUCAGAAGAGGCAAUAGAAACCUGGUCUUGGUCGAGUACUCCAAUUCUACUCAACUGAGGAGUAUCAAUCUUGCUAGAUUGAGGAGUAUCAGGAGCUAUUUGAACUUUACUAGAUGAGGAAGAAGCAGCUUCUAUCCUAUCUAAUUGUUCUCUAAUGGCUUUGGCAAAAUCAGACUUUGAUUAUUGGACAAGCUUCUGACUAGUUUUCGAAACCUGAAAAGGUUUGAAAAUAGGUUCUUUAAGCUUUUUAUCAGAAUCAGAUUUUAAAGAAACAGGUUUUGGACUAGGAGAAACAGAUAUGGUUGACUGUUGAAAUUGGUUUUCCAAUCUAGUCAACUGUUUUCCUAUGGUAUUUAAGUUAGUAUUACAGAAAUUGUUCUGUUGAAUAAUACUACUUAAAUUGACUUCAGGAUCAUUUGGCUUUGGAAUUUUGUAAGGUGAAGCUCUAAUAUCUACAGGAGGUUCACCAUGCUCUAUGAUAACACUCCUAAGAGGGGAUGCUCAGAAUCGACAGUUCUAUUACUAUCGAAGAGUUUCCACUCAGUGGUUUUCUUCCUGGUAGUAAUAGGGUUUGACUCUUUGAAAGGAUAGGAAAUGUUGUUUUGAGAAGAAUAUAUUUCGAACCAAUCAAAAAACAAUAUAUGAACUUGAUGAAAAUUAACAAAUUCAUAGUAAGUUUGUUGGAUUUCCUUCCUUUGAUUUAAAAAAUGUUUAAAAAACCAUAGUUUUUUUUCUUUAUUAUCAUCUGAAUAAAAAUCAUUAUGCAGCAUGGCUUUAUCUAAUUCAAAAUGCUUUUCAAUGACAUUUAAAACAUUUUCUGUGAUUGCAGAGAAUGUAGGAGAAGUUGGAAGAGAAGAUUCUUUCUCUUCCUGUCUUUGUUCAUGUUGACUGCUAAUGUAAACGGGAUGUGGUACCUUUGUAGUGUAGUCAACAGAACUGAUAGAAGAACUAGGUAAAUCCGAAGUGGAGAACCUAGGUUGACUCUGAAAUGGAAGAUUUAUAACAGAGGGUACUUUUGUAAAUUUCCUUUCUAGUGAAGGAAUGCUUGAGCAUGAUGCUUUAUCGGAGAAUCUGGAAGAACUUGAUCUCCUGAAUGAUAAUUUAACUUUACCAUCAGAAUACUGAGUCACAUUUUGCAACUCUGUAUUAGGCUCAAGUUGUUUUGGAAUCGCUGGUGGAGCGGCUCCUUCAAGAAUCCAUUCCUCAGGAAGAUUUACAUCUUUCCAUUGGAUUGGUUUUGGAAUGACAGUGUUUGCUCUAUACAGGUCAGUCUGUAAGAGAAGAGUUUCAUCUCUUUUCGACUGGAAUUUAUGUUGAGUACUAAAGGCAGUAAUCAUGGCUUUGUACGAGAUUUUAAAAAUUAAUGCAACAGGGAUAGAUCCCUCAAUCAUAUGAUAAUUAUGCGUUUUGAUUUGUAAAAUCAUGCUUUUCAAAAUGUUUUUGUCUUUAAGAGACAAAGUUAUGUUUGGAUAGCAAUCAAAUGAAAUGGGACCUUUACAUAGGCUAGAUUCAAUGCUACUUAGCAGAGAAUCAUCAAAAGAGAUGAAUCGACCAUCUCUAAGAACAGCAAGGAUAGAAGUAUCCAGGCCUUCUUUGGUAAGGGGCUUUAUGCCUAUUUGGAUUAGACCUAUAUGAAUGUAAUUGAAAUUCUUUUCUUUUAAUUUGUUUAAAGAUUUUUCUGAAAACAAAUUAAUUGUUUCAAAAGGCUUUGAAAGAGUUAUAUCACGCUCUUCAGUUUUUAUAACAUAAUCAUUUUUCCAAAAAUCGAGCUUUUUUGUUCUGUAAAUCUUUUCUUUUGAAAUCUUUGGAAGUUCCCAACAAUCAAUUGUUUUAUCAAAGUUCUCAAUAACAAAUUCUUCUGAACUCACAACAUGCUUUGAGUCACUAGUCUUCCCAGAAGAAGAGCUAGAAAAGGACGAUGCUCUACAGUGAAGAGGAUCCAUGGUUAGAAUCCUGGGUUCUAUCUUUGGUUUGGUCAAAAUGGCUACAGGUAUGGUUUUACAGCCCUAAACGGAAAACUUAUCCUUGGACGGGACUUACUACCAGUAAAAAUUCACCACAAAAAUAAAACUUCAAAAUAAAACACAAGAUUUUAAUCACGAAAUUCUAAACUGCUUUACACAAUCCUUCCCUUGGCUCUGAUACCAGGAGGAAAUAUUAUGGAAAUUUGUGGCGUUACAAUAAAAGAGAUGUAAUAAAUAAAAAAUAUUACAAAAUAAAAAAGGAGAAAAAGUGAGCGAACAUGCUCGUGAUGGUUAGGUGGCCAUUUUGCCACCUGAUCAUCAAAUUUCUCUAUGUAUAUAUAUUAUAAAAAAUAAAAUAAAAUACAUAAUAAUAAAAUAAAAGAAGAUGAUGAUGCAAGCAUUGCCCCGGGGGAGGGGGAUGAGGAGCUGAGGAUUUCUUUCUUUAUUUCUUCUUCUAUUUUCUUGUAAUAUAUUUAAGAAGUUUAUUAAAUAAAGUGAGUGUUUUGUUUUUUAAUAUAAGUGGCUAAAUUUUCUAAGUUAAGGUGAAAUGUGAAGGUCAAAGAUUCAAAUUAUUAAAUUAAUUACUCUCUCAAGUGAGACUUCAAAUUUAUUUAUUUGUUGUAUUUUUCUUCCUUACUAGUUUCUUUCAUGUUAUGUUAAUUUAUAGAUUUAUAUCUCUUCAUAUUUAUAUGGUAAUUUGACAUAAUAUCAACACUUCAAUAUAGUUGUGGCACAUUAAAUUCUUGAUCCAUAUUUAUCACACUAAUGGUUAGUUAAGAAUUAAAUUGCAUAAUAAUUAACUUGCAGAAUAAAUACAAAAUACAAAUAUAAGAGAAUGUUAUAAUCAUAAUUUGAAAUCCGAGAGUGGAUCCCGUAACCUUAACAUAUUUUUAUAUUAAUUCUUAUUAAUUUCUUUUCUCUCAUUCAAUUUUCAUUAUUUAAUAAAUUGACUACUAAAUUUUAAAUUCCUUGUGGUUUGAUCCUGGACUCAACAAGUUAUAUUAUAACUAGAUACUCUUAUACUUAAGAGUAAUAACAUUGAGUCGUGUCAUCAUCCUUUUGUGAAUAUUUUUGUUUCAACAUGGCUGAUACAUCAAAAGUCAUAUUUCUGCUAAAAAUAAUCUUAUUUGUAAUAGGACACCAAAGACGGUAUCCUUUUACUCCACCAGUUAUACCUAUAAACAAUACUUUCUUUACUCUUGGGUCAAACUUAGAUUUUUUUACAUGAUAAUAAGUAGCAUAAUAAAAAACAUUAAAAUAAUCAUAAUCAGUAAUAGGUUUACUAGUCCACAUCUCUAUGAGCGUUUUUCCCUCAAUUGCAGCUAAUGAACAAUGGUUGAUCAGAUAACACACAUAUACAAUUGCCUUAUCCCAAAACUCCUUGCCCAAUCUGGCAUUGGAAAACAUACAUCGAACUUUCUUUAGUAUAGUCUUGUUUAUGGUUCUGCCAUUCCAUUCACCCCAUUCUGUUAUGAUGUGUUUCGAACAGUGAAGUGUCGCACAAUACCCUCAUCUCGGUAUACUGUAGAAAUAGAUCAUUCUUGUACUCAUCAUCAUUGUUGCAGUGAAGUCUUUUGACCUUUCGGCCAGUCUAAUUCUGAGCCUCGACCAUUUUCUUCUAUUUCACCAAAGUCUGCAAGGUUUUUUCAUCAACAUGUCCCAAACGCAUAUGCUGCAACUUACUUGCUUCUGAAUCUACAUCUUUUCUAGAAAUUGUUGAUGCUGAUUCAAUAAUUGUACUCCUUUUGAAAUAGUACAAGUUAUUUUUUCUUGUGCCUUUCAUCACUGUUAACACAUUAGCUACUACCUUUAAGAAUCCAUUUCUUCUUAUGCCUUUCAUCACUGUUAGCACACUAGCUACUACCUUCAAGAAUCAAUCUCUCCGAGUGAUUGUAUGCCUUUUGGAUUCUAGGACUUAUAAGGAGAUGAGAUUUUUCUUCAAGCUGGGUAUGUAACAAACAUUUGUCAAUGUUAGCCUAUAGGGCUAUAAAUGUUGAUUUUGAUGAUAAAAAACCACAUAUUUUGGAUGAUCAAAUAUUUACAUAUUAUGCUUUUAUAACAAGAAAAUGAUUUUUAUGUUAUUAGCUUGUUUUUCAAGAUAUGGACUAAAAUGAAAGAGUUUUACUAUCUUUGAUGUUAAUAAAUAUUGUUUUGAAUUUCGGAUAUGGACCUAUUUGGCCAUUCUAUAAUUUCACAUAGUUUGGGCGAUAUUAUAAUUUUAUAAAGUUUUGGGAUUAACAAAGUAUUAUUUAGAAAAUUUGAAAUUGGACUUUUUUGAAAAGAUUCAUAACGUUUUGGGUCAUAAUACAGUUAUAUAAAGUUUUGAGGUCUACUGUAAUUUUAGAAAAUAGUUCACUGUAGCAGUUACUAUAGCAAGCGGCUAUCUGGAUCUUGACAAACAGUAGACCGGAUUUGGGCAGUAAGCUUCUGGAACAUAAACGACUAUUUGGAUUUCAUAAGCGGCAUAUCAGAUGUUCAGAAAUUCAAAUUUUGGCAGUAACGGUAACAUUAAGCGGCUAACCGGAUGUCCAUAAACGGUAAGUCGGUUAUCACCAAAAUGUGCAUAAUGGCUAGUUUUUGAACGCAAACUAUAUAAACUCAAAUCCAAUUCAUUUUUAGUAUUCUUGGCAAGCAUAAACAAGUGCACGCAACUUAUAUUAAGCUUCAAUUUCGUAAAUCAUCAUUUAUUGAAUCAUCUUUGUUCUUCAAUUUGUAUAUCUACUCUUUGAGAGAGUUUUUGUUGUAAUUUUCAAUUCCUCAUCAAAUUUGUGAGUGUUUAAAUGUGUGAGACACUUAAGUGAAGAGAUUGAGAGAUAAUCUCUUUGUUGUAAAGGUUCAUUGACCCCUUAAAAGUUAAUUGUAAGCUUUUGAAGCCUUAGAAGGCUUGGAUAAUGAAAUCCUCAAGCUUGGGUUGUUUGGAGGCGAGGACGUAGGUAGGGAUUGCCGAAUCACGUAAAAAUCCUUGAGUUUGCUUUCUCUUCCCUUACUAUUUUAUUAUUGUGCUUUCAUUGAAUUUAUUGUUUUCAAAUUUAUUAAGGCAUUAGAUUGGAUUGUUGUGUGGUUUGAUUAUGAUAAGUUUUAAAAACUCAAUUCACCCCCUCUUGGGUUGCAUAACUUAUAUUUCAGUCAAUACUUGGAUUAAGUUGUCAUGAUUCUUACUAGAUUGAACCUAUUUUCAUAGUUUUACAAAUACUGUCAUUGCCCAUAAAAAUAAUUUCAUUGUCCAGCUCCUUGAAGUUAGAAAACCAGCCCUUGUUAGGACACAAAUGAUAAGUAUAACCCGAAUCCAAAAACCACUCAUUUGAGUGACAUUUCAAUGUCAUGCAACCACCCAAACUAAAGUCUGACUCCUCAUCAUGUUCUAUUAUAUAUGCAUUAGAAAUAGUCUUACCCUUUUGUAACUAAGGACAAUUCUUUUUCCAACGCCCUUUCUCACGACAAAAAGCACAUUUAUCCUUGACAAACUUCCUUUUAGACUUGCUCUUUUUUCUAAAUUUUUGAGUUUUUGAACAAACUCUUACUGUCAAUGCUUCUACAACUAUCUCUCUGUGAUCUUUUUGUCUUUCUUUCUAGUUUUAGAGCUAUACAACUCACUGCAUACAACAAUAAAUGUGACAUUGUCCUUCACAUAAAGUAAAAUGGUGGUAAGAUGGACAUAAUCAUCAGGAAGGGAAUUCAAUAACAAUAAUAUCUUAUCUUUAUCUUUAAAUUUCUUAUCCAAAUUUAGCAAAUUUGUUAAUAUUUUGUUGAAUGAGUUCACACGAUCAUUUAUCAAAAUGCCAGGUGUAUACAUGAAUUAAUAGAGUUUCUUUUUUAUAAAUAAAGCCUAUUUUGAAGGCUUUUCUUCAUGUACUUUUUCUUUAAACAUCUUUCACAAUUUGUUUGCUGAUGUCUCCCUCAUAAUAGAGUACUUCUAAUCUUUAACCAGACAUAAGUGAAUAGUACAACAUGUCUAUCCAUUGGUCUUUGUCCACUCCUUGUCAUUCAUCUUGUCAGGCUUUUCUUCAAGAGUGAGCUCAACCUCUUGCUAACAAAAGACAUUCGAUAUCUCACAUUGCCACAUACCAAAAUUAUUGGUAUUGUUGAAUUUCUCCAUUUCAAAUUUUGCAUUCAUCAUAGUAGUCCUCGUUGAUGAAGAUGACGAUGACACCUCUGCCAUAUUUUUUUAAUUACUUAGCCCAAACGAACAAUAUCUACACAUCUAUUUGUACAUAUAAUGCACUAGGAAAAUUCCCAAGAAAGAUUAAAGGGGUCAUAACGGUCUCACUUAAAAUCCAGAUUCCUUUAGGCAAUUCUAGCCUUGUUGACAGAACUUUCCUAGACAUGCACUUAUCCACACAACUAUACUGCAAGUUCUUAAUACUCCUAAGUACAAACUGUUGGCUCAACUGUAAUUGUGAACAAUAUCGUAUACCCUAAACAUUAACUGUCGGCUUUAAUACCAAUUGUUGUAGAAGCACAGGUUGAACAAUUAUCAAUAUUGCGGUGACUGCAACUUUUGGAGAAAUGUAGAUUUAAUGAUAAACAAACAUAAAGAAAAAUUUGAAUUUAAUAAGUUACGUAGUUCAGCGUACAACUUACAUCCACGGGCAAAGAGUAGAAGAUAAUUUCACUAAUAAAUGGGAAUUUACAAAGGUAGGAAAAACUCUCAAAAUCCAAAACCCCAAAAUACUCAAUUAUAUCCUUAUUAGAACACUCAAGUAGAAACUUUCUCAAAUCUCUCAAAUUGCUUCACUUGCAAUUGUUCUCAAAUGUGGGAUGCCAUACUCUCCAAAUGAACCUCUAUUUAUAGUGCAUGAGCAGCCUUAAACUUCAAAAAUUGUGGUCCAAAAUCUAGUGGAGUAGCCGCCAUUUCCAUUGACAAACCAAGCACGAAUAGCCGACCAUUGAAAAUUUGCAAACAAAUUUUCAAAAGCCAUGCACACUUUGUCAACAACUUACAUGUAUAAUUUACUGCCACCAAUUUUCAAUAUCAUCGAAUAGCAUUUUGUCAAACAGUUGUACUAUUUCUUCAUGCUUUUAGACUUUCCCAUUUUCAAGUCAAAAAUUUCAACAUAACAAACCCCAUCUCAACCCGACAGUGACAAAUGUUUUUGAAAAAUUUAUCAUUAAUUCAAAAUCUAAGAUAAUUUUUUUAUUAACUUACUUUUUAUUUAUUCUUAUAUGAGAUUGAGACGGAAUCUAAAUGUUUUGGUCCAUUCAUUGGGAUUGAUUUGGUCGCCUAACGCUCCAUGUUGAUUUCAUAUGCCACCUAUGCACAUGUACUUCGUUAUUGUAAAAUUCCUUGACUUCAUAUUCAUUACUUUUCAAUGUAGCAUGUUUCUCAAUAAAAAAUAUUAUGGCAAUACAAAUCAUUAGCUAGUAAUAGUCUUUGCUUUUGGAUUUGCAAAUGACUAUAUCCCUAUACCCAAGAAUUCUAUAAUUUGAAUGAGAGAGUUCUAUAACACCUAAAGCUAAUUAGCAGUAAAAGAUCAAGAAAUUUAAUUAAAAAUAAUUUUUAUUUAGUAUUCUCUAUUUGGAUGCAAAACUACUUCAAUGUCAAACAUUAGGAUUGAUGGCUUUCUUAUUCCAUUUGAUCGUUUAAUACUUCUCUUUCUAUUCUUAUAUACUUACAUUUGCUUUAAAAGGUUUGGUUUAUAUCCUCCUUAUGUAUUUUCUUAUUUACUGAUUUAUAUUACAAGUAGGAAUUUUGCCUAAACCCCCCACCUUCUUAGUGGUUUCUUUAAAAAAAAAAAUCUCAUGCAAUCAGGAUAAAAUGUUAUACACUAAUUAAUUAAGAACAAAAUAUAUCUUGCCAACCAAUAAUUUGUUCUAAAAUAUUCAUAGUUUUAGAUUUUUUAACAUGUUGCACCAAGUUGCAAAAUCUUCAAUGAGUGAAUGAAUUUACUUAAAUCAAAAUUCAUUUAAAAAUAACAUUGUUUUUGUUUGUACAUGAAUAAGAUUGUUUGAAGAUUUCUUAUUCAAGGAAUCAUGUUACUUUCUCUUGGAUGUUUUCAAUUAUAUAGAGUUAUUUUUCCUUUUCUUGAAUACUAUUUUUUUUUCACACAUUAGACUGCUUGGCUAUGUUAAAGUUAUGUUCAUUAAAAGAACUUUAUUUAAAGGAUAGUUUUGUUCAUGGUCUUGUUGCAGCUAAAUGUUGCUACAAAUGGUUUCCCAAACAAAAUAUAAGUUCCAAUGAUAACUAAUGGUAAUACAACAAUCUUUGCAAUUCUUUCAACAAAUAAUUUAUUUCUUCACAACACAAAGAUAAUACACGCUUCACCAUCCAAACAUUGUUUUCCUUCACACUAUCACAAAAUACAUCAAUGAAAAUGAAUUUGCCAAGCACGAUUAAUUAUUUAUUUAAAAGAGGAUAAUUCAUAUCAUCUGUAAACUUUGAAACAUUUAUCAUAGAAUUUGCAAACUUCAAACAAUUGAGAAGCUAAAGAUAAAGUAACUAGAGCACAACUAUAGCUCAAAAUAUAUUAACAUUUGAAACAAGUUGAUGAAUGUUGGUUCUCCAAUUCAUUUGGUCCAAGAUCAACAAAUAACUACAAUUAGAAAUAUAUUUAGUCAGUACACUAAGUUGUCACAAGCUCAUAUUAAUAUGAUAUAUAAUUUGGAAUAUAGAAAAAUUAAAUUUUAUAUGAGCAAAUCUUGCAACAAAUUACAUUUUCCAAGCACAACAUGUCUCAGCGAACAAGUUACAUAUAUUAAUUCUAAAAUACAAAACAAUAAUCAAGAAUAAAAUUGUGUAAAUGAAAUUAUUUAGCUUUAGAAACUUUGAACCUUUACUCAUCAUUUUGUUCAAUCGAUACACCAUUAAAGAGAAAGGCACACAUACCGAAAUCAUACUUGCUGAUACAAAAAAUAAAUAAUGAUAUCAAAUUUCAUAUAUAAAUAACUAGAUGACUUACAUGAGUUACAUGACCUACACGACUACAUUACUUACACGACCUAUACAACUACAUUGUUUACUCGACCUACAUGACCACAUUUCUUACACAACCUACAUGACUACAUUUCUUACACAGCCUACACCAUCGACUACAUAACGUACACAACGUCAAAAAGAAUACACGAUCUGAAACACUUUCACCACAAACACAUAUUCAACUAGAUAUCUUGUUGAAAAAAAUUAAUUAAUACUAAAAAUAGUCAUUUGAACUCUAAAUGAAUUAAAAAAACUAUUUUAUUGUGUAAAUUUUAAAAACUAAAAAUAUUAUAUUACAAGAAUACCCUAAAUUCAAUAAAACAAAUAAAACCAAAUUCUAAGAUGAUAAUUUUUAAAUGAACAUGUAAUUAUAAAAAAUUAACAUCAUGCAAUUAUACUUUUUUAUAAUUAUAAUUUCAUUUAUUUUUUGUAAUUAAAAUUAAGUAUAGGGAUGUUUACAAAAAUUAACAUGAAGAGAAAAGCUCCCUGUAAUUAUUGUAAACUUCUCUAUAAUUAAUAUUAAGAAACUUUCAUAUACAAAUUAAAUGAAAUUAUAAUUACAAAAAAUUAACAUCAUAAUUUUUUAAAUAAAAUUAUAAUUAUAAAAAUUAACAUAUUGAAUUUGAGAUUUAUUUAUUUUAUUAAAUUUAGGGGUAUUUUUGUAAUUAAAUUUUUAGUUUUCAAAGUUUUACAUAAUAAAAUAGUUUUUUAAUUCACUUAAGGGUAAAAUAAUUAUGUUUUAGUGUCAGAGUGGUUGGUUGAUACAAGCUUAAAAAUAAAGGUGGUACAAAGAUCAUGACAAAAUUUUAUGGUGGUUAGAUAUACAUAUAACAAAAAAAAUGUAAUGUAAAAAUAAUUUUCCUUUUAAAACACAUCAUAUUCAGUCAAUUUCGUUAAUUAAAGGGAUUAAAUAUCAUGAGUGAAUAUGAUUAUUAAAAAAAUGAAACCAAAAUAAUAAGAAAAAAUAAGGCCCUUUUAUUUCAUGCGAACUUCACCCAAUUUCCACAUCAAAUUGCAAAUGAAUAAGAUGUUAAAAAAGUGAAAGAAUUUUUACAAAUCAUUCAAUAACUUAAAAAAAAAGCAAUCUAAAAGAAAUUUAUUAGUCACAAGACGUUUAGUAUCCUUAGAAGAUAAGAGCAGGUAGUGAAAUGUACAUGGUAUUGAUAAGUGGGACAAUGAAAUUCAGGUGGAGGAGAUCGUGGCAAUGAUUCGACAAGUGGGGGUGGGGACUAUGGUAGCGGCGGCAGCGAGGCAGGGUGGUGACUAGACUGGUGGCAGAGGUGAAAGAGGGGUGAUGAUUGGACUGGAGGUGGAGGUGAGGGUGAGAGUGGUGGAGGUGACAGUGGAGGUGGAGGUGAUGAAAGUAAAGGUGUGAUAAGGAGCUAUGCAAGUCCAAGCGAGCACCCAAACCCAACAGCAAGUAUGAAGAAUAUGUAUGGGCACAUGCAAGCAACCAUGCAAGACAUGCAUGGGGUAGGCAUCGCGUGGAAGUAUGUCCUGACUCCUUCAAGGACUCUUCAAGGAUGCAACGGGAAGGCUUUACUACGUCAAACCGUAUUGAUGGAGAAUUCAUGUUUAAACAUGUUUCCUUUAAAGAUUGUUAUUUGUUUCCAAUUUAUAGUUAAGUAGUUUAUUUGAUAUUUACUACUUUAUCUCGUUAAUUUUGUUCUAUAAAUAAACUCCAAUAAUUCAAUAAGAGAGGAUCAGAUUUUUAUCCAAUACUAUUAGCAAUUGUGGUAGUUCUCACCCUAAGAAGAACAAAUUAUUUACAUGUUUUCUGCCAAUUCUGACUGGGACCUAUCAUUGGUAUUAGAGCUAAGCAAGGAUGACAACCAAUAAGGAACGCAUCGAACAGAUAGAUACGGACCUCGGGGAGAUGCAAGAUAAGAUGCAGUACAUGGAAUUAGGAGUUAACCACAAAUUGGCUCACAUUGAAGAAACCUUGAGCAAACUUGCAGAGUCUUUCCACACAUCCAAAGAUGCACCAAGUGUCAACAACAAUAUAGCCACAUCACGACCAAACCGAGAAGACAGGGAUGGUAGACGGCAACAGUUUCAAUCAAAAGUGGUAAAACUAGAGUUUCUACGCUAUGCCGGCGACAACCCCACUGAGUGGUUCAACCGUGUCAACCAGUUCUUCUAAUACCAAGGGUCAACAUAAGACCAGAAAGUUGUCUUGGCUUUAUUCCACUUGGAAUGAGAAGCUAACCAAUGGUGGCAAUGGCUUAGAAAAUCUUAUCAAGAGGAAGGACGAGACGUGACUUGGGAAAUCUUCAUGGAGGAGCUAUGGGCGAGGUUUGGGCCAACAAAUUACGAGGACUUAGACGAGGCGCUAUCCAGGGUCAAGCAAACCGGCACUCUUCGAGAUUACCAGAAAGAAUUUGAGAGGCUUGGCAACCGGGUUCAAGGGUGGACUCAAAAGGCUCUUGUCAGCACAUUCAUGGGAGGACUGAAACCCAAGAUAUCUGAGGAAAUUCGACUGUUCAGACCAAGAACUCUCAAGGAAGCGAUCAGUUUGGCAAGGAUGAGAAAUGAACAAUUACAACGACAGAAGAGGCUGAUGAGACCAUCGAUUUUCAACCGUUCACCACCACCACAAAACUUCAACAACCGCGCUUCACCAGCAGUACCAAUUAAAAGGCUCUCAUGGGAGGAGAUGCAAAGGCGAAGAGCUCAAGGCUUGUACUUCAAUUGUAAUGAUAAAUUUACUGCAGGUCAUAAGUGCACAAAAGCACAGUUGUUAAUCCUUGAAGCCGAAGACGAAGAGAACAUACCUGAAGAAUCUACAGUGACGUCAGACACAAGACAAUGAACAAGAGAUGGUUCAAUUUCAUUUCUUGAGAGUGCAGCAACGACAGAGCUUGAGAGUGAAACAGGGGAAUACGUGAAACCUAAAAUCACGUUCUACUCCUUGACGGGUUGGGCUGCUCCACAAACCAUGAGGGUAAGGGCCAAGAUCGGUCUGCACGAAAUUGUUGUGUUGAUAGACAGUGACUCAACACACAAUUUCAUCAAUCACGUUUGGCCAGUAUGCUUCAACUUCCCAUACAACCAAUGCCAGUUUUUUCAGUAAGAGUGGCCAAUGGAGAAAAAGUGAUAUGCCAAGGAAAACAUGAAAAGGUAUACGUCUUGAUCCAAGAUAUUCCAUUUGAACUUACAUUAUAUUCAUUGCCAAUUACAAGCCUAGACAUGGUGCUCGACAUUCAAUGGUUGGGAAACUUGGGAUCGGUAGUUUGCAAUUCGAAGGCGUAGACAAUGGAUUUUGAUUGAAAUAAUCAAAAACGAAGAUUGCAAGGCUUGGGACCUCAAGCGAUUCAAGCCUCUUCCCUAACUGAAGUUACAAAAGAAAUAAGGCAAAGGCAAUAAGUGUUUGCGAUAUGUCUUCAAAUUAAUACAGAAGACUCAUAUGCCAUGGCACCGGCUAGCAUGCAAGGAUUAUUGGAGGAAUAUUCCGAGCUGUUUUAAGAACCUAAACACCUGCCACCAGCAAGGGAAAUUGAUCACCGAAUUACACUCAAAGAAGGAGUUGAACCGAUUAAUGUAAGACCUUACCGCUAUGCUUACUUUUAUAAAGUAGAGAUUGAAAAACAAGUGCACGAGAUACUGACUUUAGAGCUCAUUUGGCCAAGCACCAGCCCAUUCUCAUCACUGGUUCUCUUAGUAAAACAAAAUGGUAGCUGGAGGUUUUGCAUCAAUUACCGAGCGCUUAGUGAAGUAACAGUUAAGGACCGAUUUCCAAUCCCAACCGUGGAGGACAUGCUCGAUGAACUACAUGGUGCAACAUACUUCACCAAGCUUGACCUUAGAGCUGGUUACCACCAGGUACGGGUGCACCCAUCCGAUAUUCAUAAGACAACCUGUCGCACACACAACGGCCAUUAUGAAUACAUGGUAAUGCCGUUCGGCCUAUGCAACGCCCUUUCUACUUUUCAAACUAUUUUGAAUGCUAUUUUCUGGCCUCACCUCCGAAAAUUUAUAUUAGUCUUCUUUGACGAUAUCUUAAUUUAUAGCACGACAUGGGACUGUCAUCUUAACCAUGUUAGACAGGCAUUGGAAAUCCUUAAACAGCAACGAUUUUUUGUCAAAGCCAGCAAAUGUAAUUUCGGCCAGCAAGAACUUGAAUACUUGGGACAUAUAGUGACUUGUCACUGCGUGAAAGUAGAUGAACAAAAGAUUUCAGCAAUGGUAUCUUGGCCACAGCCACAGAAUGUCUCAGAGUUGAGGGGAUUUCUUGGCCUAACUAGAUACUACCGUAAAUUCGUACGUGGAUAUGGGUUGUUCGGCCUCUAACAAAUCUACUGAAGAAAGGCAAAUUCUGUUAGAGUAAAGAGGCAGAAACGACGUUUAAAGCACUCAAACUCGCCAUUACGCAAACUCCCAUUCUUGUUAUGCCCAAUUUUAACAAAGUGUUCAUAAUUGAAACUGAUGCAUCAGGUGGCGGCAUCAGAGUUGUGCUUCAACAAAAUGGCAGACCUAUAGCAUUAAUGAGCCGAGCAUUGGGAGUAGCAAAGAAGGCUUGGUCGACUUAUGCAAAAGAGAUGUUAGCAAUGGUAGAAGCCCUGAGAACGUGGAGGCCUUAUCUAUUGGGACAACGGUUCGUGAUACAGACGGAUCAGCGGAGUCUUAAAUAUCUCUUGGAACAAAAGAUAGCCACGCCCAAUCAGUAACAAUGGAUGGUCAAGCUAAUGGGAUAUGAUUAUGAGAUACAGUAUCGACUUGGCAAAGAGAACGAUGUCGCAGAUGCACUCUCAAGACGAACGGACAGCCCUACACGCAACCAUCUUUUUGUUCCACAGAUAUCACUAUGGGGAGAAAUAAAAAAAGUUGCACUCGAAGACGAGUAUUUGAAACAAGUCACCCAACAAGCUAAAAAUCAACCCAACAGCCCUUAUACAACAAAGAAUGGGUUAAUAUUUUUUAAAGGUAGAGUUGUUAUUCCACGGAAAUUGCGUGAGUCACUAUUAUAUGAGGCCCACAACACCAAAAUAGGGGAACACUCAGGCGUUCUCCGAAUUUACAAACAUUUGACGCAACAAUUUUACUGGCCUUCGAUGUUUCAAACCGUGCAGGAUUAUAUCAGUAAGUGUGACAUUUGUCAAAAGACUAAAAGUGAAACACUGCAACCGGUGGGACUUCUUCAACCGCUUCCCAUCCCUUGCCAAGUAUGGGAGGAUAUUUCACUUGAUUUUAUCUCAGGGUUGCCAAACUCUCAGGGCCGUGACACGAUAUUCGUAGUAGUUGACAGACUUAGUAAGUAUGCUCACUUCAUGUCGUUUUCUCAUCCGUUUACUACAAAAUCAGUUGCUGGGAGAUUCGUUGAAGGAGUUAUCAAGUUACACGGCAUGCCAAAAAUAAUUGUAAGUGACCGAGCCCCAUAUUUAUUCGUAAAUUUUGGCAUGAAUUUUUCACUUUGUCUGGCACACAAUUAAAAAUGAGCUCAGCUUAUCAUCCACAAAUGGAUGGCCAAACGAAAGUUGUCAACCAAUGUUUGGAACAAUAUUUACGUAGUUUUGUUCAUCAAUGGCCGCGCAAAUGGAAUCUGUAUUUACCUUGAGCUGAAUUUUGGUACAAUACCACAUUUCAUGUUUCAACUGGAAUGACUCAUUUCCAAGUCUUGUAUGGUCGGCCACCACCUACUAUUCUGAUAUAUCCACUCGGAUCCUCAUCGGUUCAUGAGGAUGAUCAAGCAUUAAGAACACGUGAUGUGUUAUUGGUGCAAUUGAAGACAAAUUUUGUUGUAGCAGCCAAUAAAAUAAAACAAACAGCAGAUAAAAAAAAGAAGGGAUGUCGAGUUUCAAGAGGGUGAUAUGGUGUAUUUAAAGCUGCAUCCAUAUAGGCAAUCCUCUAUCUUUAAGUGUGCACACCAGAAGCUGGCCAACCGAUUCUUUGGGCCGUAUCAAGUCAUAUAGAAAAUUAGCUCAGUCGCCUACAAACUUCAGCUACCAGAAGGGGCUCGGAUUCAUCCAAUUUUCCAUGUAUCUUUGCAUCCAUAUAGGCAAUCCUCUGUCUUUAAGCGUGCACACUAGAAGCUGGCCAACUGAUUAUUUGGGCCGUAUCAAGUCAUCCAGAAAAUUAGUCCGAUCGCCUACCAGAAGGGGCUCGGAUUCAUCCCAUUUUCUAUGUAUAUUUGCUCUAAAAUAUUGUGGGUGACUUGCCCAAGAGUAGCACCAAAUUGCCUCCAAUUGAUGAUGAAGUAUUAUCGAGUUAGAACUUGAUUCGGUUGUGGACACUCGUUGGCUUAAACAUGGGGGUUCCAUCAUCGAACAAAGUUUGAUUUGUUGGAAGAAGCUUCCACUGGAGGACGCUACAUGGGAAGAUUCAACAUUGAUCCAUCAGUGGUUUCCUACACUAACCCUUGGGGACAAGGGUUCUCUUCGAGGGGGGGUGAUGAUAAGGAGCUACGCAAGUCCAAGAAAGCACCCAAACCCAACAGCAAGUAUGAAGAAUAUGCAUGGGCACAUGCAAGCAACCAUGCAAGUCAUGCAUGAGGUAGGCAUCACGUGGAAGUAUGUCCUGACUCCUUCAAGGACUCUUCAAGGAUGCAACAGGAAAGCUUUACUACGUCAAACCGUAUUGAUGGAGAAUUCAUGUUUAAACAUGUUUCCUUUAAAGAUUAUUAUUUUUUUCAAAUUUAUAGUUAAGUAGUUUAUUUGAUGUUUACUACUUUAUCUCAUUAACUUUGUUCUAUAAAUAAACUCCAAUAAUUCAAUAAGAGAGGAUCGGAUUUUUAUCUAAUACUAUUAGUAAUUGUGGUAGUUCUCACCCUAAGAAGAACAAAUUAUUUACUUAUUGUUUUCCACAAAUUCUGACUAGGACCUAUCAAGGUGAAGGCGGCGAAGGUGAUCGUGGAGGUGGAGACAUUACAGAUGGUGAUGGUGAAUGUAGUGCUGGAGAAGAUAAGGGUGGUGAUGGUGAAGGUAGAGAUUGUGAUAAUUGAGGUGUAGGAAGGGAAUGAGGAAGUAAAUAACUAAUUUAAGGGGUGGGGGGUAAUGGCUGAUAUGUAAAAGGGGCGGAAAGUGGACUGGUGAUGAUGAUGAUAGUGAAGGCGGAGACCUGAUCGGUGGCGGAGGUGAAAGUGGAUGUGGUGACCUUAUCAGUGGCGGUAGUAAAGCCACUGGUAUAUGUACGGGGCAAUGAUGAUUGAGGCACAAGAAGUGGUGAUGACCUCACUAAUGGCGGUGGUAAAGGCAACGGUGGUGAAAGUGAGGGUAAUGAUGGUCGAGGUGCUGGAGAGGGUAGGGAUCUAACCAGUGGAGGUGGUGACACCAAUGCUAGUUAAAGUAGGGUUGCGACCUCAACAGUAGUAUUAGUGAAGCCUGUAGCAGAAAAGAUAGGGAUGGUGAUGGUUGAGGUGUAGGAGGGGGUGGCAACCUAACCGAUGGAGGUGGUGAGGCUAAUGGUGGUGAAUGUAAGAGUGGUGAUGGUUAAGGUGCAAAAGGUGGUAGGGACAUGACCGGUGACGAGGGUGAAGCUAGUAGUGGUGAUGGUACGGGUGGUGAUAGUUUAAGUGUAGAAGAGGGUGUCGACCUAACUGAUAGUGGUGGUUAGAUCACUAGUGGUGAAGAUUGGGGUGGUGAUGGUUAAGGUGAAAGAGGGGGUGGCAACCUGACUAGUGGUGAUAGUGAAGAUAAGGGUGGCAAUGGUUAAGAUACAAGAAGGGGUAGUGACCAGACUGGUGGCGGUGGUGGAGUUGGUGGUAAUGAAUGUGGGGUUGACAAUGGUUGAGAUACAAUAGGUAGUGACGACCUAACCGGUGGCACGGAAGCCGCUGAUGGUAAAGAUGGGUUGAUGAUGGUUAAUGUGUAAAAUGUGGUGUUAACUUGAUUAGUAGCGGUGGUGAUCUCAUUGGUGGCUAUAGUGAAGUUGCUAGUGGUAACUGUGGGGGUGAUGCUAGUUGAAGUGUAGGAGCGUGUGAUGACCUCACCGAUAUCGGUGGUGAAGCCGAUGUUAGUGAAAGUGGGGAUGGCGAUGGUUAAGGCAUAGGAGGUAAUGGCAAAUUGAUCAGUGGCGGGGGUGAAACUGAUAGUGAUGGUGGUGGUAGAGGUGGUGGUAAUUGAGAUGAAUGAUGAAAUGGUGACCUAACUGAUUGCGGUGGUGAUGUCGAUGGCUAUGAUGACGAUGAUGCAUAUGGUUAAAGUACAAGAAGGGGUGGCAACCUAAUCGGUGGCAGUGGUGAAGAUAGCGUUGGUGAAAGUGAUGAUGGGGAUGGUUAAGGUAUAGGAGGGGGCAGCCACCUGACUGGUGGCAUUGGUGAUAGUUAAAGUGCAGAAGGGGGUGGUGACCUGACCAGUGGCUGUGGUGAUGAUGGUUGAGGUGUAAGAGGGGGUGGUGAUGUAAUGGGUGUUAAUGGCAGUUGUUGAUUAAGUAUCAGUGGUGGUGUUGGUGGAGAUUGCAUUGGGGGUUGAACGAGUGGAGGUGUUGAAGUGGGUGGUUUUGAUGGCUUAGACGUUGGAGCCCAUGGUUUUGUCUACAGAGGUAGUGCCCAUUUCCCUCUAAAUAGAACUAUAGUUCCUGGUGGUGCUGCUAUGGGAAUGGGGGUCAAGGCUAAGAGAUGGAGGAAGUAGUUGUGAGGGAAUCGAAAUAGGUAAUGGAGGAGAUUGGACAGGUUUGGGCGGUGAUGGUUAAGGUGAAAAGGGGGCCAACAUUCCACAAAUGGUGGAGAUGAAGCUCGGUGAGGUGAAGGCGGUAGUUGAGACUAGAUAGGUGGGGGCAAUGGUGAGGGAUACAUGGCGCCAAAGCAUUGAGGGAGGAUGACAUCUCCAUUUGAAGGGGUAGAAAUCUCAGUGGGCACUAAUAACGGGCGACGAACAAUGAAAGCCUCUCCAUUAUCGGAUAAACCGACACAAAAGAAUGGGAAUGAGGAGCAGAUAAGGAAGAAAAUAACAAAGCAACCUAAGACCUGCAUUCCUCCAGAUCAUGUCAAAGCCGGUGGCUGUCAAAGCCAACUUCAAAUUGGCUUUGACAGCCGCCCAAAGAAAUAAACAAAAGAGAAAGAAGAAUUUGGUACCGCCCAAAGAAAAAAAAUAAUUAAAUUAUUAUUUUAAUAGCCAAUUUUGGCUAUAAAAGGGGAGAGCUCUAUUUCAAUUUAAACAUUUAAUUUGUGAGAUAAUAACAAGAGAGAGUUUGAGAGAUUUUAAGAGCCCAAAAUUAUAAAGCUCUUGUGAGUCUAGUGAGUGAGAGAUUAUGUGUAUUGGAGUUUUGGGUAGUGAACCAAAAUAUUACAAUACUUGUAAUCUUUAUUUCACUAGUAAAAUACUUUCUUUUUGUCUUCACCCGUAGACGUGGGCUAAAAGCCGAACCACGUAAUUCCUGGUAUCCUCUAUUGUGCUUGUUCUUUAUUUUCUUCCAAUUUUACUUUAGCUGCGUGUCUGCUUCACCCACCAAUUUCCUAUCAAUGGUAUCAGAGCUAUUGGUUGUAUUUUUUGGAGUCGGGUACUAUUCACAUAUACGGUACUGUUCACGUAUAUGAUAUUAUUCACAUAUACGGUACUGUUCACGUAUACGGUACUAUUCACGUGAAACGAUGGGAGCGAUCCAAGAAUUUGGCGGUGCAAAAGCAGGGAAUAGUGGUGUGAGUAAAACAACUGUGUGGUUUUGUACAUGUCUAGGAAAGUUCUGUCACAAAGGCGAUGAGAGCUUAAGGAGUCUGGGUUUUAAGUAGGACCAUUGUGACCCGUCUAGUCUUUCCUGGAAACUUUCCUAGUGUGCAUAUUCACACAUACUUACAACUAUUCAAGGUGGUACACUAGCUUGUGUGCAGCAUUUAUCAACAAAAUGGCGGCAAAGUAUGAAAUUGAGAAAUUUAAUGGAAAUAAUUUUUCAUUGUGGAAAAUGAAAAUGAAAGCUGUAUUGAGGAAAAAUAAUUGCUUGGCGGCAAUUGGAGAAAGGCCCAUGGAGAUAACUGAUGACAAGUGGAACGAGGUAGACGGCAACGCCAUUUCUGAUCUACACUUGGCACUUCCGGAUGAAGUAUUAUCCAGUGUGGUAUAGAAAAAUACAGCGAAGGAAAUAUGAGAUACUCUUACAAAAUUGUACGAGGCUAAGUCACUACACAACAAAAUCUUCUUGAAGAGAAAACUUUAUACUCUUCGAAUGACGGAAUCUACAAUGGUGACCGACCACAUCAACACCUUAAAGACUCUGUUUUCACAACUCACAACGUUGGGUUAUAAUAUAGAGGAGAAUGAAUGUGCAGAGCUUCUACUUCAAAGUCUACCAGAUUCGUAUGAUCAACUCAUCAUCAACCUGACGAACAACAAUCCAGUGGACAGUCUAGUUUUCGACGAUGUUGCAGCCUCCGUAUUAAAUGAGGAGAGCAGGCGGAAAAAUAAGGAAAACAGACAAGUAAGUUCGCAGCAAGCGGAGGCGCUAUCGGUGACGAGAGGGAGAUCAACGGAACGUGGCCCUAGUGGGAGUCACAAUAAUGGUAGAUCAAAAUCCAGAAGUAAAAAGAAUGUUAAAUGCUACAACUAUAGCAAGAAAGAGCACGUCAAGAAAGAGUGUUGGAGUAACCAGAAGAGAAAAGAGGGCAAAGAACUUGAGUCAUCAAAUGCUCAAGGGUGUGUAGCAAGUACCUCGGAUGAUGGUGAAAUUCUCUACAGCGAGGCAAUAACUGUUUCAGAAGGCAGAAAACGACUAUCUGAUGUCUGACUUAUAAACUCAGGAGCUACUUGGCACAUGACCUCUCGGAGAGAAUGGUUCCACACAUAUGAACCUAUCUGAGGAGGAUCUGUAUAUAUGGGAGAUGAUCAUGCCUUGGAGAUCGCUUGUAUUGGUACUAUCAAAAUAAAAAUGUUUGAUGGUACAAUUCGCACAAUUGGGGAGGUACGACAUGUCAACGGCCUGAAGAAAAAUUUUUUGUCUUUGGAACAAAUGGAUAGUCAUGGGUACAAAACUCAUGUGGAGAAUGGAAUUAUGAAGAUCGUUAAAGGCGCGCUUUUAUUGAUGAAGGCAGAAAAGAUCGGUGCUAAUUUAUUCAUGCUUAAAGGAGAAACACUAUAGGAGGCUGAUGCGUGUGUCACAUCAAAUAGAGAAGAGUCAACGAUGAUGUGGCAUCUCAAACUUGGCCACAUGUGCAUACCAUUGUGCAUAUUAUAAAAGGUUUGAAGAUAAUGAUUUCAUUAUUUUAUUGUUGUAUGUGGAUGAUAUGUUGGUAGCAGGCCCCAACAAAUAUCGAAUCCAAGAAUUGAAGGCAUAGUUGGCUAGGGAGUUUGAAAUGAAGGACUUGGGACCAGAAAAUAAGAUUUUAGGGAUGCAAAUUCACCAAGACAGAAAUAACAGGAAGAUUUGGCUUUCGCAGAAGAAUUACUUGAAGAAAAUCUUGCGGCGCUUCAACAUGCAAGAUUGUAAGUCAAUUUCUACCCCACUUCCUGUUAAUUUCAAAUUAUCCUCAAGUAUGUGUCCUAGCAAUGAAGCAGAGAGGAAGGAGAUAUCUCGAGUACCGUAUGCAUCAGCAAUGGGAAGUUUGAUGUUCGCUAUGAUAUGUACUAGAUCGGACAUUGCACAAGCAGUGGGAGCAGUCAGUCGAUACAUGGCGAAUCCUGGAGGAGAGCAUUGGAUAGCUGUGAAGAGGAUUCUAAGAUACAUCAAAAGAACCUCAGAUGUUGCAUUAUGUUAUGGAGGAUCAUAAUUUACUAUCAGGGGCUAUGUGGAUUCAGAUUUUGCAUGAGACCUUGAUAAAAGAAAAUCCACUACUGGUUAUGUGUUUACACUUGCGGGAGCAGCUGUAAGCUGGGUUUCGAAACUACAGAUCGUUAUGGCUUUAUCUACAACAGAAGCAGAGUACAUGGCAGCUACACAAGCUUGCAAGGAAGUUAUUUGGAUACAAAGAUUAUUGGAGGAGCUCGAGCACAAACAAGAGAAAAUUUCUGUGUUUUGUGACAGUUAGAGUGCCUUGCACGUUGCAAGGAAUCCAGCCUUUCAUUCCAGGACAAAGCACAUAGGAGUUCAGUAUCACUUCGUUCGAGAAGUAGUGGAAGACAGAAGUGUGGAUUUACAGAAAAUCCAUACGAAGGAGAACCUAGCAGAUGUUUUGACUAAUCCAAUCAAUACUGACAAGUUUGUCUGGAGUAGAUCCUCUUGUGGCCUAGCAGAAACGUAGGCAACAUGAUUAUGGCAAAACAGAAAGGAUGGUGUGGAGAUUGAUUGAUUCUCAAUCAAAUCUCCAAGUGGGAGAAAUGUCAAAGCCGGUGGUUGUCAAAGCCAACUUCAAAUUGGCUUUGACAGCCGCCCAAAGAAAGAAACAAAAGAGAAAGAAGAAAAAGAAGAAAGAAAGAAGAAUUUGGUACCGCCCAAAGAAAAAAAAUAAUUAAAUUAUUAUUUUAAUAGCCAAUUUUGACUAUAAAAUGGGAGAGCUCCAUUUCGAUUUAAGCAUUUAAUUUGUGAGAGAAUAACAAGAGAGAGUUUGAGAGAUUUUAAGAGCCUAAAAUUAUAAAGCUCUUGUGAGUCUAGUGAGUGAGAGAUUGGGUGUAUUGAGGUUUUGGGUAGUGAGCCAAAAUAUUACAAUAUUUAUAAUCCUUAUUUCACUAGUAAAAUAUUUUCCUUUUGUCUUCGCCCGUGGACGUAGGCUAAAAGCCGAACCACGUAAUUUCUGGUAUCCUCUACUGUGCUUGUUCUUUAUUUUCUUCAAAUUUUACUUUAGCUGCGUGUCUGCUUCACCCACCAAUUUCAUAACAGAUCAGACCCAAGGCUACUCACCAGAGGCUGUGGAUGCAUAUGGCAGGAGGGUGUUAUUUUCAAAGAGGGUAGCAUAACGCUAAUUAAUUUAUUUUUCAGCCUAUUGCACCAUGAAUACCACAUAAUUAUUUGGCAAAUUAAUCUAAAAUUAGCUAAAAUAGCUUAAAAUAUAAUAUUGUUUUGACCAUGUGAAAAUUUUUCAAACUUCUACUCGUUACUUUUCACCACAAUAUUUUUCUCAAUGGAAAAUAUAAUUAUGGCGUUACAAAUCAUUUAGCAUAAUAUUCUUUGCUUUUCGACUUUCAAAAGAUUAUCCCUAUGUCCAAAAAAUUCUAAAACUUGAUGAAUUUGAGAGUUUUGUCUUAUAAAAUUAAGCUAAUUAGCAGUAAGAGAUCAAGUAGUUUAACGAAAAUUUUGUUUCAAAAAAAUUAUGGUUUAAGCAUAUUCAUUCAGUGAAGGAAGAAUUUUUUAUUUAGUGCAACAGAUAAUAGAAAGUCUAAAUUAAGCAAAUUAAAUUGUAGCUUGAAAAUUUGAUGCAACCAUAAAAAUACUUGAGCAAAAUCAAAUUCUUCAUAUAAAUUAAAUUUGUCUCAAGAACCAAUUAUGAUCUCGAUGGGGAAAUAAUUUGUCAUAAUUUAUCCUGGAUUUCUUAAAACAAUUCUGUUGUUUUUGUUUUGCAUUAUUAGAUGCAUUUUAAUCUUAUGCAACAACCCUCCAGUUUAUUAAUUUGCCUGUAGUCAAGAUGACACUCCGAAGAUAUCUUGCAAUAAAACUGUUGCCAAACAAUAUAAUUAGGCAGCUUCGGCUCCCAAAAUGAGGUCUAGCUGAGCUCUAGUGGGGAUUGUUAAAAACACUAGCCCGGCACGGAUCCAGAUAGGGCCUGGGCAAUGCGGGUUGGAUAUUACCUGGACUCGGGCAAUGUAGGCUGGAUAUUAUCCAGUCCAAAGAUGAGUUCGCCUAGACCCGAGCUUCAUUUGAUAAAUUCAAUGUCCAAGCUUAGGUGUAGCAUGAAACUUAGAUUUUAUAAAAAAAAAAAAUUAUAAAAAAAUAUUAUUUUAAAUAACUAUAUUUAUUUAACCCACCUAUUACAUUUGUUUAAAUUUUACAUAUUUAAAGUUCAUAUUUUUAAGCCUAAUUCAUUAAAAUAAAAAUUAAAAAUUAAAAAAUAAACAUAUAUAAUAUUUCAAAAUAUAAAAUAUAAGUUUUUUAAAUUCGAAUGCAAAACUAAGCCCGAUGUCGAGCUCUUUAGGCCCAGCCUAGAUGUCCAAAACAAAAAAAAUACCUGAUCCAAAUUGGAAUUGCCAUACCCAAGAACAACCCGGGUUUUGGCCUUUUUGUCAACCCUUAACUCUUGCUACAAGUGUCAUGCUUAGAUCCGGAUCCAAAUUUUAUAAAAUUCAUAUUUAAACUAGAAUUAGAAUUUGAAUGUUAUAGUAAUAAAAUAUUUGGUAGACAUUAUAUACUAUAACUUAAAAGUUUUAUUUAUAUGAUUUUCCGCAUGUAUGAUGGAAAAUCUAUUAUAUUUUUAAUAAUUCUGUGUUAAAAUUAUUAUUUAAAAUUUAUAUUUACUACAUAUCAUUAAUUUUUGUUUUAUAAUUACAAUUUUUUUUUCUACAGUAAUUGUAUCUUAAAAGUUACAACACUUCAAUCUCAAACAGUACCCAACUGGAGUCAUUUAGAAGCAUUGAAUUUUACAUAAACAAAAAAAUGAUUAAGGUUAAAAUAAUUUUUUUUUAUUUAAGUAUUUUGAUACUUUUACUUAAAAAGGAUAAAAUAAUCAAUUGGUCUUAUAUUAAAAGCAAAGUUAGCCGUCAAAAGAUUGUCAAAAAUCAAAGUCACAAGAUUUAAUUGAAUAAUUGUCCACAAUUCUUCUUUAUUUGAUUUUUUUAAAAUAAUAUGAAAUUAUGUUAUUAUAUUUUAUGAUUUGGGUAUAUUUACAAAAAUUGUGAGGUAAAAUAUCACCAAUCCAAAAAUAAUUGACUGUAAAAUUUUUUCAUAAAUACAAAUAAAAUAUUUAAAAGUAUAAUAGCAGAAAAGUAGUAUGUGCAACUAUUUCUGAAACAAUGGGAUUCAUCGGUCCAGUGUCGUCUCUCUGAACAAAAUAAUUGAACAAUUGUGACAUUUCUAAUUUUAUAAGCCGCUAUAAAAAAUAAAAUUACAUUAAGGAGAAUCACUAGAAAACUAUGUCAUCUUUCCUAGAUGAGGCGAGGAAGCAGCUCCUCUCAUUAUUAAAAUGAGAUCAUCCAGCAUCUCGUAGAUUGAAACAGAACAAGGAUGUGCUUUAUCAGCAACAGAAAAACAAUGGGUCUUCCCAUGAAUGCUUAUCCAACUGCACCCAGGUGACUUCUUUAAACCUCUAUCUUUCAUCAUUGUUCUCAACUCAGCUACAGCAUCCCAUCUUCUAGAGGAAGCAUACAAGUUUGAUAGUGAUACGUAGUUUGAGGGAUUCUCUGGUUCUAACUGAAUAAGUGACUUGUAAGCCAAAGCCUGCAUCUCGGAGUUCCCAUGCAUUACAGAAGCACUAACAAGAGCCCCCCAGAUGCUUGGACUGGGUUCAACAGGCAUUGUUUUAAUGAAAUCGAGUGCUCUAUCAAGCUGACCAGCUCGACCUAACAUAUCAACAACACAAGCACAUAUCUCAGUUGUUGGCUUAAAUCUGUCUGUGUUUAUGACUGAAUUGUAUAUUUCAAGGCCUUCGUUUAUCAAUCCUGACCUGCCGCAGGCAGAAAGAACCCCAACAAUUGUUAUAAUAUCUGGUUUGCUCCCAAGGCAAACCAUCUUAUUGUACAAUAACACAGCUUCAUGUCCCUUCCCAUGUAAUCCAUAUCCUGAAACAAUUGAACUCCAUGUGAUUGCAUCUUUGUUAAAAGAACUAUCCUCAAAUACUCGCCUUGCACAAUCCAAGCUCCCACACUUAGAAUACAUAUCUAUCAAAGCAUUACACAGAGACACAUCAUGAUUCAACUCCUUUCUAAUUGCAAAUCCAUGAAUUUGUUUCCCACCGCUUAAACCAAUAAGUGAGCUACAAGUGGGAAGAACACUCACAAGCGAAACUUUAUUAGGUUCUAUUCUAUCUUUCAACUGCAUUUCAAGAAAAAGAACCAAUGCUUCAUCCAAAUCUCCAUUCUGCACAUAACCAUUGAUCAUCGCCGUCCAAGCAUAAACAUUUCUACGCUUCAUUUGAUCAAAUACUCGCCUACUCCGAACAACUUUAUUAUCCCUUGAAUACAUAUCAAUCAAUGAACAAGCUAAAUGAAAAUCCGAAUCAAAACCAAUAUCCAACUCAUUCCUCACAAUAUAACAAUGAAGCUCCCUACCAUAAUCCCAUCUUUUAGUGUUUUCGACAUUACCACCAAUCAAAGUCAAAAGACUUGAAACAGUAAAUGCAUCAAGUUUCACUCCAUCAAUCUGCAUAGACCAAACAAUUUCACACAAAUCCUUACCCAAACUAAAAUCCCCCGAACUCGCAUGCCCCGAAAUUCGCACAUUCCAAGAACCCACAUUUCUUUGAGGCAUUUCAUCGAACAGGUUCAGACAUUCACUAAAUUUUCCACAUUUAACAUACAUUGACAUAAGAGAAUUGGCCAAAAUAACAUCCACAACAAACCCAAUUUUAAUACUCAGCCCAUGAAUCAACAUUCCAACAUUUAAGUCCUUAAUCUCACCACUUAAUUUUGAUAUGGUUGCUAGAGUAAAAUCAUCUGGUGACACAUUGCUAUAAUACAUGUUACUAAACAACUCCAAAGCUUCAUUGUGUCCAUGGUUUUUGACAUACCCAUUAAUCAGUGAGUUGUACAGAUACACGUCCUUGUGUUGAAUUGAGUUGAAAACGAGUUGAGACUGAGUUGGCUGGCCGCAUAAAGCGUAAGCAGUGAUGAGUUUUGUGCUUACGAAUGGGUUUGAAAUGUGGCCGAGAAAGAGGAUUUGAGCGUGGGAUUGUUUGGUGAGUUUCAGAGAUCGAUGGGUGACUGAAACCCGAAGAAAAUGCUGCACAGUGGCAGAAGUGUAAUUACGGGAGGUUAUGAGGGCAAACGUGUUGCGUGCGGAUGAGAGGAUCAUCAGAGAACAGACAGUUUAUGAAUGUCCGCUGAAACGGAGUGUCCUACAAGGUUUUCGGUCAAAUAAUUUAAUUUAUAAUAUAUUAUAUAUACUACUCUAAUAAAAAUUUUGGGAGCUUAAGAAAAUUUCUUGAGGCUUUCGAUAAAAGAGAAGGCAACGCUAUAUUCAAAUGUGCUUCAUUGUCGAUAUGAUCAUAGAUUAUUAUCUAAAUAAAACUCAUGGAUAUUUAAAGUUAAGUCAUAAUAUCCUUUUAAGAGUUAAAGACCUUCAAAGUGUAAUUAUCUGGGGUUAUAAAUUAUUAUGUUUAUGGAGAUUCGGGUUUUUCCAUAUGGGUUGUGGGGGUUGAUUUAAUUUUUACUUUCAAAGAUUUAGAGGUAAAUGAGCCAAUUUUGAGUUUAGAUAUUCAGAUUAUAUUAUCACAAAUUUGAUUUAAAACGUUGUAACAGACUUCUUAUUAUAAAUAUCAUACUAAUCAUACUUUAUACAAUUAACAAACCAUUAGUAACAAAAUUACUAAUCACAUGAAUUUUCGCCUCUUUGGCACUAUCUUUGAGAAUAUUAUAAUUUUUUUCUUCAUUUUAGUUGGAGAGUAGGGGUUUUAUUUAAGUCUUUCUCAAAUGUUGCAAUGAUAGCUUUCUCUCCUCUGAAGAAUGGAUAACAAUCUCUUUAAUUAAGGAUGUGUACUUUAUAGUAUAAAUGUAUAAACCCAAUGAACCAAUUUAUUGUUGAAGUACUCUUACUUCGCUUUAAUGAUACCCCGAACAAAAAUAAUUGUUAUUCGUUUGAUUCCAGGUAAGCCUGGAUACUAGCUAGAUGUUGCUCGUUAGAAUGUCAACACAUAGGCCACAGCAUACGUUUCCAUUGCAAAUUAAUUAUAUCAAAGUUUCAAAAAGUGUGAUUGAGCAAAUCGGAAAAAUAUAAUGUAUGAGAUAGUGCAAUUAAGAGAAUCUAGUUCCAAUCUUAAUUUGGGAUCACAGAUUGAUAUAAAAAAUGUUAAAAAGAAGACAGCAUUUAGUUUUAUAUGUUCAUAAUCAAGCUUUUGUAAAACGAACAUGGCGACAAAGGUAACCAAAAGGCCAACAGAACUUGCACUAAAUUUGAAAGUACUCCGUAACCUUGUCCUUUCAUAUCCUUUUCAGUACUGGACCUAAGCUAUACAACUUUAUCAUCAUCCGAAAGAUGUGAUUAUUCUGGUUGAUCCCUUUGCUGCUUAAAUUAUUUGAAUGCUUUCCAUCAUAUCAUCUGUCAUUCUGUCUUUCUUGAGCAAUAUUUGUCAUUUUUUUUUAUCAAAUUAAUAAUCUAGUAAUCUCCUUGAAGAAAAUUUUUUCGGGACAGUCCAAUUUAAAAGCUCGAUGGGAGACCAUUCUGACCCCGCAGCCAAACAGCUAGGCCACCGUAGCACAGUAUAAGGGGUGAGCAAAUUCAGAUUCAGAUCGAUUUAAUUGAAUUUCAGGUUAAUCAGAUUGAGGAAAAGGUAAUCCAAACUCAAUCCGAACUUAUAAUUCAAUCUGAUUUGAUCUGAAUAUCGGAUCAAAAAUUGUAUCAUGAAUGGUUUGCAUAUGCAUAAUACUAGUUUAGUUUCUUCAAAUUUUCCGAUUGGAUAGGUUUGACCCGAUCUAAUCACAAUCCAAUCCAAUCGAGAUAGAGUUUUCAUCCGCAUCUGAUCUAAAUCCAAAUUUUUUAGAUCGGAUCGGGUCGGUCAAAUUAUUUGUCCACCCCUAUGCAACACUUCCAAACAAUUUAUUCAUUUGGGAGCGAUGCGUUGUGGCAGCAGAGCUGCUUGGCUGCUGCGAAGACACCUCGGUUUCCAACCAUCCUAAGUGUAUCAUUUAGGCGACAGCAAUGGGACCCACAAUGUUAAAUUUAAUUAUAUAACUUCUCAUUUUGAUACUAUGUAAUUUUUUUAUGGUGGUACAAGAGGUAUGGAGUUCUAACUGUGCUUCCAUGAGUCGAAAAAGAGCUUAAAUUCUACAUCCGUGUAAAAUACUUCCAAAAAAUAAACAAAUUAAAAAAGAGAGAGAAAAAGAAAUAAUGAGCCUACUGGUUUGGUUGCUAUGAUGUCUAUUGCCCAUCUAUAAUCAAAAGAUUUUGGGAUCAAAUUUAACUCAUGUCAAGAUAGUUAAAGAUUUAACCCUCGCGCCAGUUCUGAAAGAUAAUUAGUAUAAUUUAUCUUGCUAUCUGGUUUGGGUGGGAUUUCUGUGCCUUUUUUUUUUUUUUCCUUUUUUAAUAAAGAAAAAGUUUAUCUAAAGGAGGAUACAAAACUAUCAUUUGUCAAUAACAAAACACUUGUUGAUGUCCUAUUAUUGCUCGUAGAUAGUUAAUCAUGGAUACUUACAAUUUUUCCACAAAACACCAAACACCUAAGCAUCACUACUUCUCAUCUUUCCAUGCAAAAUUGGACCACUUUAUUAAUUAAUUAGAAAGAAGUACAUAAAGUUUGGGAUUGCAUUUGUUAUUACAACCCAAAUUUUCACACCAUUGCAUCAGUCCAAAGCUCCAGCAAAGCUUUCUUAAGAGCCUUGUCAUUUGAUGACCCCCAGAAAAAAAAAAAAAAAAAAAAAAGUAGUACUAGACUAAUUUUAAGUCAUGCAAUAAUUUAGCAAAUUAACAAAAAUAACCCAACAAAAUUAACAAAAUGGAGCCACUAAAUUGUGGAAACUAGCUUUGCUUGUUGCACAAGCAGCAGCACCAAAAUCAUCCAAAUUCCACAAACCGUCCCAUAGAAUUUCCUCAUUGGAGGGCUCUGUCAUAAUCGCACUAUUGUUGUUGCCAUUAGGCAUGCAAUUAUAAAAGAAAUUGUUGGCUUGUUGAUCCUGAUCAGUUAUUGUAUUAGGAUGAUAUCCCAUAAACUCUGGCCUCGGCGCCUGAGGUAUAUAUGGCACUCUAUGCUCACUUUCAUCAAGCAAGAACAUGAUCCUUUUCAAGUCCAGUUGAUUAAGUUGCAUGUCUUGCUGCUGGUGCUGGUGCUGUUGUUGCUGAUGAAAUUGUUGCCUUUUCAGAAGGCGAUUUUUCGCCUUAUCAGUGUUAUCAGAAGAGAUUUUAGCCUUUUUCUUGAAAUGGGUCCUCCAAUAGUUCUUGAUUUCAUUAUCAGUUCUUCCUGGCAAGCUUCUAGCAAUUGUUGACCACCUAAAAUAAUAUCGUUGAUUUGUUAGCGUAUUAUUAUAAACGUUAAUUAACUUAAAUAUAAUUGUAAUCAAACUAUUAUAUUUACCUGUUUCCCCAUCUGGCAUGCAACUCAAGAAUUAUGCUUUCUUCGUGUGGUGUUAUUUGCCCCCUCUUGAGGUCUGGCCUCAAAUAAUUCACCCACCUCAAUCUGCAGCUCUUUCCAUUCCUUCUCAACCCUAUACAGCCAAAAAUAAGUUUUUAACAUGCAAAAAGCACUUUUAGAGAAGCAGAAGCAAAAGCAGUUUACAGUUUUUUAUUUACCUGCAAGCCUGGCAACAGAGUUCCAUCUGCCUUCACCAUGUACCCUAACAUAUUCAAUGAGAAGCCUAUCUUCUUCAGCAGUCCAAGGACCCUUUCUCCAGCCUUCAUCAAUAAUGCCCCAACCCAGUUGUGCACCCAUCAUUCCCCAAGACAUGUGAAAUUGUCAAAUGAAAAAAGCAAAAGCGUUAAGCAGCUUAAGUAGCUAGCUAGCGAAGUUAUAAUUAUUCAAGCUUUUGCUUUGUGUUACAAGCAAAAGCUUAUUUAUAAGCCUAAGCUUUUUAAUUGUCCUCCAAAUUCUAUGGCACUUCGAGGUGAGUGUGUGUGGCAUAUUUAUAUACGCACUAAAGCAAUAACUUUAUCAUUCCAUCAGUCAAUUUACUGUCCUUUUCAAAAUCAUCCAUAUCCUUUUCCUGUGCAAGAGCUACUUGUGAUUUCUAGGAUACCAUCAUCACUUGGUAAAAUGACUAGAACAACCUUUUCAUCAUGCAGGGUUCUGAUCAAUCAACGGUUGUGAUGAAGUAGGGGCAAUUAGGAAGAUUUCAUAGAAUGUUAAGGCAUUGGGUGACAUGUUCUAUUAAGGGAUCAAAUCCAAUUAGAAUAUAUUUGUUGAUGCCAAAGCAAGACAAAGAGAGACACGAAUCUCAUAGCCUUUGGCCACGUAUUAACUAGGGCUUCUGCAUCAAGACAAUGGGAAUUAGUAGCUCUGGAAAAUAUAGGAAAUAAAAUAUCAAGUGGGUGGUGGAUUUUUUUCAUUUGAAAAUUACUUGAGACCAAUGGGGUUUUACCAGCUGUUGUCUUUGUUUUCUUCUAAAGGGUAUGAAUACAUUUAAUCUCCAUUAAAUCUUAAUAAAAUAGAAUUUGUUGGAUUCCAUAUCGGGCAUUGGGGUCAUUUAAAUAUUCAUCCUAUUGAUGGUUUUGGUACGUCACAAGGCGUACAGGUGGUCUCUUUGGUUAUGUUCUUCCGAGAGAGGUGCUUCAGGGGACUACUCACUGUAUAUAUUUUCAUUACUCAUUGCUCUUGUUUCGCCACAUAUGGCAAAGCAUUGUAUUUUUUUAUUAUAGGGUUUGAGAAUUUAAAGAAAACUGAAAAUGAAAAGUGAUUAGGUGGGCUGAUAAUUGUAUGAAUCUAGUUAGUUGAUGUCAUUAUUUUUAUUUUUUUGGUACAAGAGAUCAUCUAAUAUUCAAAAAUUAUAUUAAAUUCCAACUAAUUUAGAUUCAAACUAGGUAAGACUAUUAGGGCCGCAAAAUUUUCUCAAUAAAUAUUUAAUGUAGCUGUAUUUUUAAAUCUCGAAUCGAGAACUUUGGUUAAAGUAGAACAGAAACAUUCAUACCAGUUAAUUUACGCGUUUGUUGGAUUAUUUAUUUCUUAUAAGAGAGAGUUUUUUUUUUUAACAUUUAGAAAUAAAUUUGGUCCAUUGUGAAUAUAAUAUCUGGAGUAUGCUAUCAUAUAACUAAUUUAUCAAAUUUUUAUAGACUUUUAAGUUAUAAGUAUGGGUAUUUAAAAAAACAUAAUACUAAUUUAGCGAAAUUAUAUAAAUUGAUCAUAUAGAUCAUUAGUUUAUUACAAAGGAUUAGGAUACCAACAUUUGUUAGAUAUUUUGGUCAAAGAAUUGGGGAUGACCGGUGUUCUUAACUUUCCAAUUAUUUGCUACUAAGUGGUGAUGAAGUGUACAGAAUCAGAUUUAGAUUGAGCUUUAAACAAUCAGGGAGCAAAAUUUGGUUUACUAGACCAGUCCGUUAUUGCCAGCUGCAAUAUCAACUUCGAAAUUAAAAAAACAAAGAAAAGAGGAAGAAGACCACUAUUGAGUAUUGACCAUCUGCCCUUAUCUUCUUGCCUAUGUGGCGUCAUAUGAUGACCAAAUUUUCUUGGGAAAGUGACUUAGUAGCACAGAAAAUGCAUAUUCUCAUCCGUCACAGCAUCAAAUAGACAAUAAUAAUCCUUGUUCUGUACGGAAUUAUUUACUAAUUAAAGUGAAUCUUAAAAUACUUGUACUGCUUAGACAUUGUUUAACAGCUAAGCAUGCUGUGAUCUUUAAAUUAAUUGAUUAGCUUUCUUUUGAUUAAAGAAGCCGAGUAAAGGGUGGAAGAUCUCAUGCUGUUCCUUGUUUGUUUCUUCCAUUUGGGUGUCUUUUCGUAGUAGAUUAGGAUGGAGGUUUUACACGAUGCUGUGGCCUGUGGGGCUACAACCAAGCAUUGAUUAACAUUUUAUAUUAUUUUUUUCUUAAUUGCAAGGGAUUGUGGUGGCAUGCCUAUGAGUUUCUAGAAAUCCUGGCUUUUUCAAUCAAAAACUUAACUUAAUUUACUAGGUUAUAUUUGGAAUUUUAUUUUUGAAAAAAGGUUAUAUUUGGA
rnacentral:lncRNA from 1 species